AGCAGCAUACACACACAUACACAUAACAGAACGGAGGAGAGGCGAAAGCAUCAACUGAAGGCAGUCACUCAGUGGCAACCAGCGGCCUGUUUCUGCGGUCUGAUCCAGUCGUGCAGCACCAUGGUCACCCUGUCGUGCUGCUUCACGGAGGAGCCGUGCAGGAGCGGGGCGGCGCCGGCGAGGAAGCGGUUGUAGUGGACGUACUCCUUGUGCCGGAACCUCUCCUGCUCGGGCGGCGUCAUCUCCUCCCACUCGGCGUGCAGCUUCUCCGACAGGCUCCAGUCGAUGUUGUACCUGGUGGCGCCGAAGCACGUCUGGCUCAGGACACGCCUCGCCAGGGUCUGCAGGUCGGGCACGCGAGCUCCGUGCGUCGACCACCAUUCAACUGCGAAUGUCGAGUGAAGCACGGUAAGAAGGUGCGACAUUCAUGUAGUAUGAUAUGAACGGAUGAAUGAAAUGGUGAUCAUCUCAGUGGGUGUAAAAUGUUUGGGUUUGAAAGUAGAAGUGAAAAUGGAAGAAGAGAAGGCUCCUGUACAGUUUAAGCAGACCAUAUACCCCAGUUUGCAACUUGCAACUAACUAAGCAACUAUGUUGAGAAUCUUAGGCUGAUGCAGAGAAGUUGGUCAUUCUACACGUCCAUCUGUAAACCUUUUAACUUCUCUACUACUCCCUCUGUCCCAUAAUGUAAGACGUUUUUGCAAGCACGUCUUACAUUAUGGAACGACAGGAGUAUUUAUUUAAACAACCAUGUCGACAAGUUAGGCUAAUGCAGAGGAGCUGAACUUUGAAUAGAAGUGCACUUAUGACAUGAUAUAUUUGUGCCAUAUUCACAUGCUAACUAAAUAUGUUGGCGCACUGUAUGUUACGGUGCACAAAUGCACAUAUCAGAUUUUCUGGAGGACAUCAGACACUAUUCCAGCUCACUCUAAAUAUUGGAAAAAAAAUCAAGUGCAUAUGAGAUAUAAAGGCACUACCGUCAGUGGUUUGUUAGGGAGUGGUCAUUUUGCAAGAGGUUAGGGUGUAGCUUACCUUGUGGUAAUUCCAUGAUUUGCUGCAUUGCUGGAUCUGUGUCGAAAUAGCCGAACUUCUUUUCAUACACUUCCAAUUGUGCAGACGCUUUUCUGGCAUUGUAAUGAGCCUUGCCCAGUUGGAUUGUGCAGGCCGCGAUGCCGCUGCUGAUCUCAGCAUCAGGCUGGAAUCCAGCUGUGUAAAAGAUCCUUGGGUUUAGCAUCUGACCAGCAGCAUGGAGAGGACUAUGCAAGUAACCAUCCCAUAUCCUGUCAAUCAUACACCAAUAAGAGUCACUUUCAUCUCCGAUAUUGAGAGAUAUCUCUUCUUUUGCUCGAUCCAUGGCUUCAUACAAGAUACCCAUCGGACAGAUAUCAGAUUCUAGUUUAUACAACACACUGACAAGUGGGUUUGUAACCUUCACGACUUCUGCAGCAGCAUGCCAGAAUGCAUCAUCUGUCUUUACUAUGCUCUGGAUACGCUCGAACAAAUCAAGACAAGUCCAACCAGAGGGAACCCAUUCAGGCGAGCUGAACAUCUGCACCAGACCUACUCUUGCAGAAACUAACCUCUCUAAUGUGAUGAACACUGCCACAAAUCUCAGAUAAGAACUGCUCAAAAUCUCCUCCUGAACAUAUCUUCCUUUCAGUUUCAUUGGCAGUGCAUGGCCAUAUAAAAACCAUGUAAUUUCCCUUGCCUUCAUUAGGACUUCACUGACAUGCUCGAGCACUGCUAUUUUCUCAAGCAGAAGGUUGAUGCAAUGAUCAGCACAUAGCACGAAGAAAAAACUGUCAUAUUUAUUUAGCACAUACUGCCGUGCCAUCUGCAUAUGGGGUGACACGUCAUUCAUGACAAUCUGAACAAUGUUAUGGGCACCAACAUCAUCAACCACGCGAGAAAGCAUUGAUUCUAGCUCAUCCAAGUCCUCAGUGAUUUCAGAGACGUCAAUGGAUCUGAGGAACAGCGUACCUUUGCUGCAGUGCACCAGGACACUUACGAAGCUUUUGUCACACUUGCUCUUCCAACUGUUGAGUAUAUUGUGUACGUGUAUAUAUGUGUGUAAGGCCCACCUCCUGUUUUUCCUGUAUAGUUGAGGUUGUGGCCCACCUCUGUACUUAUAUAUACGUGCCUGGUGCACCGAUCAAUACAUCGCGAUUGCACAGCCCAUAAUCUGUCUCUCCACAUGGUAUCAGUCGCAGUAAGGUCCUAACCCUAGCCGCCGCCGCCGCCGCCGCCGCCGCCGUCACUAGUCGCCGCCGCCGCCGCCAUACCCGAGGCCGCCGCCGCCGCUGCUAGUCACCGCCGCCGCACCCUGCCCGCCCCGCCNNNNNNNNNNNNNNNNNNNNNNNNNNNNNNNNNNNNNNNNNNNNNNNNNNNNNNNNNNNNNNNNNNNNNNNNNNNNNNNNGCCGCCGCCGCCUACUGUCCCAAGGCCGCCGCCGCCGCCGCUCUCUUCCCAACCCGCGCCACUCCCCACCCCGCGCCGCGCGCCCCCCUGUCACCCGCGCCGCGCCCUAACCCCACCACCGCCGCCACCAUGAGCUCCUCCUCCUCUACCGUCUCCAACCCGUUCGCCGGUCCCGACGUCACCCUCGUCCGCGAUCUCAACAUCCAUGAGCGCGUCCCGGUCAAGCUUGACCACACCACCGCCUCCUACUCCGCGUGGAAGCGGUAUUUUUCGCUCGUGUUCCGUGAGUACCUCCUUCACGGCCACGUGGACGGCACCGUGGACUCCGCGCUCAUGAUCCACGACGAGGAGUGGAUGCUCCUCGACGCCACCAUCAUCCGCUGGUUCUACCUCACCAUCUCCAGCGACAUCUUCCACACCGUGGUGAACGACGAGGACGACGCCCACGCAGUAUGGACCAAGCUCAACGGCCUCUUCACCGACAAUCGGCUGCAGCGCAAGGUCCUCCUCUAUGGUGAGUUUUACGGGUGCCAGCAACUUGACUCGUCCAUCGAUGAUUUUUGCAUGCGCCUCAAGAAGCUCGCCGAUGAGCUCCGUGAUCUGGGGGAGAAGAUUGGCGACGAGCUCCUCAUCAGCACCCUCUCCGGCGGCCUCAACGAGGACUUCGGGAACGCCGCCUCCAACCUCACCCUCAUCCCGGAGCCCACCUUUGGCAAGGUGGUCGCGUACCUCAAGCUGGAGGAACGCCGGAUGCGGGCGGCCCGGACGCGCGCCACCCACACGGCCCUUGUUGCCGGCACCCGCGGGGGUUCGGCCCCGCCGCAGCCUCGCCAGACGCCGCCCCCGCAGGCGACGACCGCCUUCCCGUCGGGCUUCCCGCCUGCCCCACCAGCCCCCUUNNNNNNNNNNNNNNNNNNNNNNNNNNNNNNNNNNNNNNNNNNNNNNNNNNNNNNNNNNNNNNNNNNNNNNNNNNNNNAGCCGGCGGCCAAUGGAGGCGUCCGUCGCGGCGGCCGCCGGGGUGGCCGCAAGCAGGGAGGCGGGGGUGGCGGUGGCGGUGCUCAGGGAGGAGCGCCACGCCAGCAGCAGCCGGCCCCUCAGCCGGCGGCCCCGUGGUACGCCGGUCAGAACCCGUGGACCGGCGUCGUCCACGCCUAUUCCAUGCCGGUUCCACGGGCUCCGACUCCGGGUCUUCUCGGCACUCGGCCUCCGUCCCACCAGGCGUAUUACGCCGCGCCGCAGCCCUAUGCGGCGCCCUACGGACAGCAGCCGCCGCUGCUGCCCCUGACGUCUGCGCCGUCACUCCCACCGACGCCGUGGGACCUGGCUCUCCUGGCGGCUCUCCACACCGCCCCCUCCCCGUCCAGCUACACCGGCGGAGGCGAUUGGUACAUGGACAGUGGCGCCACCGCUCAUAUGGCGGCGUACCCCGGUAACCUCCAUACUGCUCACCCUGUCCACACUUCCAACCGCAUCACCGUCGGUGACGGUUCUUCUCUUCCUAUCACCCAUAUUGGACAUACAUAUUUUCCGUCUAACUCCACUCCUAUAUCCAUGUCUAAUAUUCUUGUCUCUCCUGAUCUUAUUAAAAAUCUUGUUUCCGUUCGUUCUCUUACACGUGAAAAUCCGGUGACCGUUGAAUUUGACGAAUGUGGUUUUUCUGUUAAGGACGCUCGCACACGGAUUGUGCUCCACCGAUGUGACAGCCCCGAUGAGCUCUACCCGAUUCACUCCGCCGCCUCCACUACUUCCGCCGCCCCUGUCGCUCUCGCCACCGGAGUGGAUCUCUGGCACGCUCGCUUGGGUCAUCCUAAUCAUGCCACCUUUCGCCACAUACUUCGGAGUUUUUCUUUCACGUGUAAUAAGAACGAGGAUCACUCGUGUCAUGCAUGCCGCCUUGGCAAACAUGCUCGUCUUCCGUUUAGGGCUUCUUCCUUUGUUGCAUCAUACCCGUUUGAGUUGAUUCAUAGUGAUGUUUGGACAUCUCCUGUUGCAAGUAACACGGGCUUUCUUUAUUAUCUUGUUAUCCUUGAUGAUUUUUCGCAUUAUGUGUGGACCUUCCCGUUGCGCCGCAAGUCGGAUGUUAUCUCCACUCUUGUCGGUUUCUACUCUUAUGUCCGCACGCAGUUUGGCCGGCCCAUUAUUGCGUUGCAGACAGACAACGGGAAGGAGUUUGACAACACCGCUGUCCGCGAUCUUCUCGCCACACAUGGCACGAUUUUUCGUCUCACUUGCCCGUACACUUCGCAGCAGAACGGUCGUGCUGAGCGCAUCCUUCGCACUCUUAAUGACUGCGUUCGGACUCUUCUCUUUCAUGCCAAUGUGCCCCCGCGCUUUUGGCCUGACGCUCUCGCCACCGCUUCUCUUCUCAUAAACAUCCGUCCAUGUCGUACUCGCGGGAACUUUACACCUCACCACCUUCUUUUCGGUGCACCCCCCUCUUAUGAAGGGCUUCGCAUCUUCGGCUGCCUGUGCUACCCUAGCAUCGCUGCCACUGCGCCUCAUAAGCUUGCACCCCGCUCCGUCGCCUGCAUCUUUCUCGGCUAUCCACCUAACACUAAGGGUUAUCGCUGCUACGAUCUAGUCUCUCACCGUGUUUUCACCUCCCGACACGUUUACUUUGAUGAGAUGGUCUUCCCGUUUCAGCAGCAGGCACCUCUCGUCGUCUCGUCACCGCCGGCCACCGGCGGCUCAUCGACGACCUCGUCAGGUGGACGAGUACGCCUGGUUCGUGGACCGCCUCCGGGCUUUGGCGGUCCCCGGGCCCUACUGCCGGCACCCUCCACGCCCGGCGCCCCGCCUUCACCCGCCGCCCCCGACUCGGNNNNNNNNNNNNNNNNNNNNNNNNNNNNNNNNNNNNNNNNNNNNNNNNNNNNNNNNNNNNNNNNNNNNNNNNNNNNNNNNNNNNNNNNNNNNNNNNNNNNNNNNNNNNNNNNNNNNNNNNNNNNNNNNNNNNNNNNNNNNNNNNNNNNNNNNNNNNNNNNNNNNNNNNNNNNNNNNNNNNNNNNNNNNNNNNNNNNNNNNNNNNNNNNNNNNNNNNNNNNNNNNNNNNNNNNNNNNNNNNNNNNNNNNNNNNNNNNNNNNNNNNNNNNNNNNNNNNNNNNNNNNNNNNNNNNNNNNNNNNNNNNNNNNNNNNNNNNNNNNNNNNNNNNNNNNNNNNNNNNNNNNNNNNNNNNNNNNNNNNNNNNNNNNNNNNNNNNNNNNNNNNNNNNNNNNNNNNNNNNNNNNNNNNNNNNNNNNNNNNNNNNNNNNNNNNNNNNNNNNNNNNNNNNNNNNNNNNNNNNNNNNNNNNNNNNNNNNNNNNNNNNNNNNNNNNNNNNNNNNNNNNNNNNNNNNNNNNNNNNNNNNNNNNNNNNNNNNNNNNNNNNNNNNNNNNNNNNNNNNNNNNNNNNNNNNNNNNNNNNNNNNNNNNNNNNNNNNNNNNNNNNNNNNNNNNNNNNNNNNNNNNNNNNNNNNNNNNNNNNNNNNNNNNNNNNNNNNNNNNNNNNNNNNNNNNNNNNNNNNNNNNNNNNNNNNNNNNNNNNNNNNNNNNNNNNNNNNNNNNNNNNNNNNNNNNNNNNNNNNNNNNNNNNNNNNNNNNNNNNNNNNNNNNNNNNNNNNNNNNNNNNNNNNNNGCCGGCCGCUUCACCGGCCGCCUCGACGGCCUCGCCACCGGCCGUCUCGCCGGCCUCGCCGCCGGCCGCCUCGCCGGCCCAGUCGCCGGUCGCCUCGCCUGCAGCCUCGCCGGCAGCCUCGCCGGCCCCAGUGGCUCCGUCCGGCCCUGUCACCCGUGCUCGCGCCGGCAUUCACUGCCCGAGCCUCCAGUACUCGUGUGACGACUACGUCCUCGCCGCCUCUGCCACGGAGCCGUCACCCAUUCCUGUGUCCGCCCGCGCCGCCCUACGUGAUCCUCACUGGCUCGCGGUGAUGCAGGAAGAGUUUGACGCUCUCCAGCGGAACCGCACCUAGACUCUGGUGCCCCGGCCUCCUCGUGCCAACGUCAUCACCGGCAAGUGGGUCUUCCGUCAUAAGACCCGCUCAGACGGUUCACUUGAGCGCUACAAGGCUCGCUGGGUGGUCCGCGGUUUCCGCCAGCGCGCUGGAAUUGAUUUCACGGAGAUGUUUGCCCCGGUUGUCAAACCGGGCACGAUCCGCACUGUCCUCCAGCUCGCCGUCUCUCGCGGCUGGCCCGUUCACCAGAUGGAUGUCUCCAACGCCUUCCUCCACGGCCAUCUUGAGGAGCAGGUGUUUUGUGAGCAACCCACCGGUUUUGUCGACGCCUCAUUGCCCGGCCAUGUGUGCCUGCUGUCGCGCUCUCUUUACGGGCUCAAGCAGGCACCCCGCGCCUGGUACCAGCGGAUCGCCGGGUUUCUUCAGACACUAGGCUUCAGCGUCACUCGCUCGGACGCCUCACUGUUUGUCUAUCGCCACGGUGACACGACUGCAUACUUGCUGCUCUACGUCGACGACAUCAUCCUGACAGCCUCCUCCGCAGCCGUUCUUCAGCAGAUCACUCUGCGGCUGCGUGACGAGUUCGCUAUCAAGGACUUGGGUGCUCUCCAUUACUUCCUUGGCAUUGAGGUUGUUCGGCGCCAGGACGGCUUCUUUCUUCAUCAACAGAAGUAUGCCCAUGAGCUUCUUGAGCGUGCUGGCAUGCUCAACUGCCAUCCGGUUGCUACUCCUGUUGACACGAAGGCCAAGGUUUCUGCUCUUGAGGGUUCGCCUGCGUCGGAUGCUCCAUUCUACCGGUCUAUUGUCGGCGCUCUUCAGUACUUGACUCUCACCAGACCGGAUCUUCAAUAUGCUGUCCAGCAGGUGUGUCUCCACAUGCACGCCCCUCGUGACUCUCACUGGACCCUCGUGAAGCGGAUCCUUCGCUACAUCCGCGGCACGAUGUCCCUCGGGUUGACACUCACGGCGUCCGUUUCUUUGGAGAUGGUGGCUUACUCCGAUGCAGACUGGGCCGGCUGCCCCGACACUCGCCGGUCCACCUCUGGCUACUGCGUCUACCUCGGUCCUUCCCUCGUCUCGUGGUCGUCCAAGCGACAACCCACGGUUUCGCGCUCUAGCGCCGAGGCUGAGUACCGAGCUGUGGCCAACGCUGUUGCCAAGUGCACCUGGCUUCGACAGUUACUCCAGGAGCUACAUCAUGAUGUCUCCCAGGCUACGGUUGUCUACUGCGACAACGUCUCUGCGGUGUACCUAUCCGCCAACCCCGUUCAUCAUCGCCGGACGAAACACAUCGAGCUGGACAUUCACUUCGUGCGCGAGCAGGUGGCUCUUGGACGCAUGCGGGUUCUCCAUGUGCCGACUGCUCAGCAGUUCGCUGAUGUGAUGACGAAGGGACUGCCGACUUCCACCUUCGAGGAGUUUCGUUCCAGUCUCUGCGUCACUGGCGCCGCUUUGACUGCGGGGGGGGUGUUGAGUAUAUUGUGUACGUGUAUAUGUGUGUGUAGGGCCCACCUCCUGUUUUUCCUGUAUAGUUGAGGUUGUGGCCCACCUCUGUACUUAUAUAUACGUGCCUGGUGCACCGAUCAAUACAUCGCGAUUGCACAGCCCAUAAUCUGUCUCUCCACACCAACUAUCCACAAUUACAGUGCAGCCACUUGUUUGCCACUCUUGCUUGAGUUCCUUUGUGCGGUUCUCAGUUUCUAUUAGUUGCUCCUGCAGAACAGCUUCGUACGUAGGCAUUACAACCCAGGCCCAUGGGGAAACACAACCAUCUCCCUCAAAGAUGAUGAAUGGAGAACACCAGGCUCAGGUCCAGCUUCGGAGAAGAACUUGCCUAUUGUUGCUGACGCAGAAUCGAAGUAAUCACUUUUCUCAACCUUGGGUUUCAGUUGACAAGAACUAUAUGUGAUUUCCUUGGGCUGCGUCAGAUCCGGUGGAUAAUGAAGAAAGCAGUGGUUAUUGGACACAGUUUGUUGUAGCUGUGGUUGCUGGACUUGAGGAGAUGGAAGGGCUGGGCUUGUGUGAGGAACCUCAUCAUGUUCAUGCUUCAGUCUCUUCGUUUUUCCCGGCAUCCGAUCUUUCUUGCGAUCCACAAGUGAACUCCUUAAGCUUGUCCUGACACUGUCCGGUACUUGGUUGCAUGGACGAACAUUGCCCCUGAUGCCUGCUACAUGUUGCUCUAGACGGUUGUAAGUGUUAGAAUAUAGAGUUGUAAUCUCAACCUCCUUCCUUCUCUUAUAUUCUACCCAAACUCUUUCUGUCAUAACCUUGUACGUCAAGCCAGGCUUCGGCCACGCAUCAAUAUAAACUACCACGCGGCUCCCUCGAUGGAGUAGGAACGCUUCAUAUCUUUCAUGGUAAUCAGAGCCACCUCUUCUCAUACAUCUAGCCACAAUCCAAAACCCUAGAAACCACACAUCAUCGUCUCCAUGGCUUCCUCCGCCGGCGUCUCCCUCAACCUUGGAUCGCCGCCGUCUGAGAAGCUCGCAAGAGGUAAUUUCAUCCUCUGGAAGACGCAGGUCCUCCCAGCCCUGCGAGGCGCGCAGGUGACGGGGCUCCUGGACAACACCGAUGCCGCUCCACCCAAGAUGGUGGAGAUCACGAAGGCAGACAAGACCACGGCCCUAGAGCCGAAUCCCCUAUACGGACCCUGGAUCGCCAAAGAUCAGCAGGUUCUAUCAUACCUUCUCAAUUCCAUAUCUCCAGAAAUUCUUGCACAAGUUGUUGGGAAAGUUUCCACCUUUGAGCUCUGGACGACGGUGACAAAUCUCUUCGCCUCACAAUCUCAGUCUCGGAUUACUAAUCUGAGAAUCGCCAUCACCAAUACCAAGAAGGGCUCGAUGUCAAGCUCGGCGUAUAUGGCGAAGAUGAAAAGUCUUGGGGAUGAACUAGCUGCUGCAGGUCGUCCCGUAUCUGAUCCGGAGAUGGUGGACUAUAUUCUGGCCGGACUGGACCGCGACUACGACCCCGUGGUGGCGGCGAUCGGCGCUGUCAAAAACAUCAUCACAACCGACGAUCUUUUUGCCCAGAUUGCUGCCUUUGAUCAAAGGAUGGAGAUGCUAGGCGACUCAUCUUCAGGCGGGUUCUAUUCAUCCGCUAAUGCGGUCUACAGAGGCCGUGGCCAGUCCCGUGGCAGAUCUCGCGGGCGUGGAGGAAGAGGCCGUGGCCGUGGUGAUCGUGGUGACCGCGGUGACCGACAGUCGUCUUCCUCCAAUGGAGGCGGCGGAUUCAGAGGCCGUCCUCGAUAGCAACAGCAACAGCAGGCUCGUGAGCAACAGCAUGACUAUUCAGAAUGUCAGAUAUGCUACAGACACCAUCUAGGAGGUGCACGAGUUUGCUGGUGGCGUUAUGAAGAAAACGACCAGGAAGAAAAGCAGGUGCAUGCAGUCUCCUAUGGCGUGGACACCAACUGGUACGCCGACAGUGCAGCAACAAACCACAUCACAGGUGAACUUGACAAGUUGACGAUGCGGGAGAAGUACAAUGGAGGCGACCAAAUUCGCACGGCAAGCGGUUCUGGUAUGGAUAUCACACACAUUGGUAGUUCAAUUGUUAAAACCCCCGUGAAAAAUUUACACUUGACCAAUGUCUUGCAUGUUCCUCAAACCUCUAAAAAUCUUGUUUCCGUUCAUCGAUUCACUCUUGAUAACAAUGUUCUUAUUGAAUUCUAUCCUUAUUUUUUCUUGGUUAAGGACUUGAAAACAAGGAGAGUCAUUCUUAGAGGACGGUGCGUGGGAGGACUCUACCCACUCAUAUCAUUAUCAUCAUCAUCAUCUUCAUGGUCCAAUAAACAAGCAAAUAUUUUCACCAAGCUAUCUACAUCAAGGUGGCAUAGUCGUUUAGGUCAUCCAUCUUCAGUCAUAGUUAGAUAUGUUCUUAGCAAAAAUAAACUCUCUUAUGACCCUAGUAGUGAGUCAGUUUGUGAUCCGUGUCAACAAGCAAAAAGUCAUCAAUUACCUUACCCAAUUUCUACUAGUGUGUCUACUGCCCCUUUACAACUUAUCUUUUCAGAUGUAUGGGGGCCAGCUCCUAUUUCAGUUGGUAGAUUUUCCUAUUAUGUAAGUUUUAUUGAUGACUAUAGUAAAUUUACUUGGAUUUAUCUGUUGAAAAAACGAUCUGAUGUAUUCCAAGUUUUCCUCAAUUUCCAAAAUCUUGUUGAACGCAAACUGAACUCUAAAAUCAUUGCUAUGCAAAGUGACUGGGGUGGUGAGUAUGAAAAACUAAAUUCUUUCUUUCAAAAGCUUGGCAUAUCACACCAUGUAUCUUGUCCUCAUGCUCACCAACAAAAUGAAUCCGCUGAAAGAAAGCACCGUCACAUAGUUGAUAUGGGGCUUGCCUUGUUAGCAAAUGCUUCCAUGCCGCUUAAAUUUUGGGAUGAAGCAUUCUUAACUGCUACAUAUCUCAUCAACUUGCUUCCAAGUAAAGUUAUCAAAUUUGAAACACCCAUUACACGACUUCUUGGUGUCACACCCAACUAUACAUCUCUUCGUAUUUUUGGUUGUGCCUGUUGGCCCAAUCUUAGGCCUUACAACACACGCAAACUCGCUUUCCGCUCAAAACGGUGUGUCUUUUUAGGCUAUAGCCCCAUGCAUAAAGGGGUCAAGUGCCUUGAUGUUCCUACUGGUCGGGUGUAUAUAUCUAGAGAUGUUGUAUUUGAUGAGUCCGUGUUUCCCUUUGCAUCCCUUCAUCCUAAUGCUGGUGCACUUCUCCGCAAAGAAAUUCUUCUUCUUCCUUUACAUCUUCGGUCUUUUGAUCAUGGGGGCAACAACAAUUGUACUAACCAAUGUGAUGAUAUUCCUGCUGGUACUGGUCUUUCUCUUAUGCCUGUGCAGGUCCCUGGAGAAAACGGUGCUCAAAAUGACCAAGAUCUCGAAAAUAUGGUUGGUUUUGAUCCUAUAUUUCAUGCUGAGGAAGGAGACGAAGCUGGCACAGAUGACGAAGAAGAUCUGGCGGUGCCUGCCACCCCUGCACGCGCGCAGAUCUCAGAUCACGCGACCGCAUCCGCCUCGGAUCAAGCCCCUGAUGGCUCCAAUCCUGGAUCCAGGGCGGGCCACUCCCGUGCUGCCGCGUCAGCUUCAGGCGGGACCAGCAGCGGGGCCGAAUCCCCCUCGCCCCGCGCGCCAGCGUCAGGCGGGACCAGCGGCGGGACCAGAUCCUCCCCGCACCACGCGCGCCUCCAGUCGCGGUCGGGUGGCGGAUCCUCUGCGCCAGUGCCUGCAGAAGGGGCAGCCACACCAGAAGCCACAGGAUCCCCUGCGCAUAUGACGACAAAUCAGUCCACUGCAUCAGCAGAUUCUCCUGGAUCUUCUGUGGCAAGUAUACCAGCGGUGCAGCGAGAGGUUUCUUCACGUGUUAUGACCCGGCUACAGAAAGGUAUACGGAAUCCUAAAAUUAGGAAAGAUGGAACUAUACCAUAUGGAAUGUUGUGUAUUUCAGGAGAACCAACAUCGUUGAAGAAUGCACUUGAUGAUCCUAAAUGGAAAAAGGCAAUGGAUGAGGAGUAUUCUGCGCUCAUGAGGAAUAAGGCUUGGCAUCUUGUACCAAAUCAGAGAGGUAAAAAUAUUAUUGAUUGCAAAUGGGUGUAUAGAAUUAAGAAGAAGGCAGAUGGCUCCAUUGACAGAUAUAAGGCACGUCUAGUUGCAAAGGGCUUUAAGCAACGUUAUGGCAUUGACUAUGAGGACACCUUUAGUCCCGUUGUGAAAGCUGCAACUAUCAGACUUGUGUUAGCCAUUGCUGUAUCCAGAGGAUGGAGUUUAAGGCAGCUAGAUGUACAGAAUGCGUUUCUGCACGGUGUUCUGGAAGAGGAAGUGUUUAUGAGACAACCACCUGGGUAUGAGAGUAAGAAAUUGCCACAGUAUGUCUGCAAGCUUGAUAAAGCACUCUAUGGUCUAAAGCAAGCACCCAGAGCAUGGUAUUCCAGAUUGAGCUCACAGUUAAAAUAUCUUGGCUUUGUUGCUUCCAAGGCUGACACAUCCUUGUUUAUUUAUAACAAGGCAGGAGUAGUCAUUUUUGUGCUUAUAUAUGUUGAUGAUAUCAUAGUUGCAAGUUCUUCACAAAAUGCUACUAAUGCUCUUUUGCAUGAUUUGAGCUCAGAGUUUGCCUUGAAGGACCUAGGUGAUUUGCAUUUCUUCUUGGGUAUUGAAGUCAAGAAAACUCAAGAUGGUAUUGUGUUAAAUCAGGAAAAAUAUAUUCUUGAGCUUCUGUCUCGCAUGGGGAUGAAAAAUUGCAAGCCAAUGCCUACACCUUUAUCCUCCUCAGAAAGUCUCUCAGCAUAUGAGGGUGAGCCACUUCAAGAGGAGGAGAGUACAAGGUAUAGGAGUACUGUGGGAGCACUACAAUAUUUAACUCUCAUACGUCCAGAUAUCUCAUUUGCUGUCAACAAGGUUUGUCAAUAUCUUCAUGCACCUACUUCUGCACAUUGGUCAGCUGUCAAGAGGAUUGUGAGAUAUGUGAAACAUACUAUGGGAAUAGGACUUCAUUUCAAACGGUCUAAUUCUUCUCUUGUGAGUGCAUUCUCUGAUGCUGACUGGGCAGGAUGUAGUGAUGACAGAAGAUCAACUGGAGGUUUUGCAGUGUUCUUUGGAUCUAAUCUUAUCUCUUGGAGUGCUAGAAAGCAAGCUACUGUGUCACGCUCAAGUACAGAAGCUGAAUACAAGUCUUUGGCUAAUGCAACUGCUGAGAUCAUUUGGGUUGAAUCACUUCUUGAGGAAUUGGGAAUCAAGAAGAAUCGUAUCUCAUGUUUAUGGUGUGAUAAUUUGGGAGCAACAUAUCUGUCUGCAAAUCCAGUGUUCCAUGCCAGGACAAAGCACAUAGAAAUUGAUUUUCACUUUGUACGAGAAAGGGUUGCGGCAAGGAAACUUGAGAUUCGAUUUAUUCCUUCUAAGGAUCAAGUGGCUGACGGUUUUACAAAAGCACUACCAGCAAGACCAUUUGAAGAAUUCAAGAGUAAUCUUAACUUAGGUUAGUUGAGAUUAAGGGAGGGUGUUAGAAUAUAGAGUUGUAAUCUCAACCUCCUUCCUUCCCUUGUAUUCUAUCCAAACUCUUUCUGUCAUAACCUUGUACGUCAAGCCAGGCUUCGGCCACGCAUCAAUAUAAACUACCACGCGGCUCCCUCGAUGGAGUAGGAACGCUUCAUAUCUUUCAGUAAGUACAAACCACCUUACCGCAGUAAUUGCAGCUCACUUUUUUGCCUUCCCCAUCAAUGGGUUUGCCAUGCCUUUCUUUUCCACAAUUACUUGUCUGAGGAUCCUGUGCGGAAAAAACCUGAAGAAAAGCAAUAAGAGAUACUUCAGUAAUGCAAAAAUUAAAAUGGCAAAUUUCCAAAACACAAGUGCAACAUUUCGCCAAUGAUUAGAUAUCAUCUACUUCCUUUUAAUGACAGCACAUGAUGUACUGCUAUUGAUGAAUUUACCACAUGUGAACAGAGAAGACUAUGAUCCAGCUAAACACCGUACCUUAGAAGUUUAAACAGAGUUACUGGAUGAAACAGUUUGUUCCGUAUUUACCUUAGAAGUUUAAACAUUUCAUAGUAUAUUUACCAACAAUCCCGCAAAAAAAAUGUAUAUUUACCAACAGACUGAAGGCAUGAGCUUGUUCACAAAUUACAAGUUCAUGGCAACAAAUCUCUGGGCACCGAUGCAAUGAAUUCACCGCAACUCCAACAGGGCAGUCAACAAUUGGCCAUUUUCGCCAUGGUACACUCCAGAAACAUGUAACUGUAACUAGAUUAGACAGGUGUUCCUCACAAACAGUCUAAUAUUCGAUGCUUACAAUCCUGAAGGAUUCGAAUGAACCAUACGAAAUAUUAGUUCGGUGCAAGUAAAAGGUUAACUAUUUGGGUACUAUCCCACAGGACAAUUGGACUAAUAUUUACUUUUUCAAAGAUCAGUGAUGUGGUAUAAGCAUAAGACUGCACGAUGAUCUUACAAAGCCAGUAACAAUACCCCCUCUGAAACCAGUGGCGUGAAAGUGACUUUUUUUCCCGAUACUAAAAUCCGACAAAGUCAUAGUGCCUCCCCUCAAAGUUUCAGCAAUUCCUUCGAAUCGGCUCAAACGCCUUUCAAAAUCCAACAUUACCCUACCCAACUCCCAAAAGCAGGCAAAACCUAAAACAGAGAAAGGGGGAUUCUUCCUGAGCAGAAAGCCCCGAACAGCACCACGGGUCACAGCCCACUGCCUAUUUCCCUCGCUCUCGCCGGCUCAUUCCAGAACAGAGCAUGGCGAGGGAUUUCAAUUGCUUACCAUUUUUGUCCCCUCCGGAGCGAGAAGGAGGGAUUCGCAGCAGGCGGUCGCCGCGCCGCGCAGCACCUCGACCUGCCUCCCAGGGGCCGGGGGCGCCGCCGACGGAGCCGCCGGGGUUUGACGGCGAUGAGCCCGAUUCUGCGCCCCGCCUCCUCUGCUGCACGUCGUGGUCUCUGCUGCGCUCUGGCUUUUGCUUUUCUGAUCAGCGGGGCGCUCACGGGUGGCAGAGAGGAGGGAGGAGGCGCUGAGGGCGAGGAGGGAACUGGGGUUUUUGGGAAGAGAUGGAAAGAACUUUGACUCUUUGCCAUUUCUGGAAACCGACGAGACGACGGGUUUUGAUCGCUCAGACGACAUUUACUGGUGUGCGAACCAACUUGUACUUGCACGUUAGGAGGACAGUGGUAUCUCUAACCAAUUCGGAUUCAAGUCCUGGUGCUUGUAUUAAUUUUUAAAUUUAUUUCAGGAUUUUCGGUGAUGCGCGUUUGGUGAGAUAAGACGUUCCCGACGACUACGAGAUGUUUACGGUGACUUCAUGAAAUAUUAAGAUGAUAUGUCGGCUCAGUCUCUUAGAGGUUCUCAUAGAGAUAGGGUGUGUGUGUGUGCAUUUAUAAGCGUGAGUGUAUGCGCGUCGCUUGCUUGUGUACUGUGUUAAGAAAAGGGACAUUCAUUGGUGGGUGGGAAACAAAUUUUGUUUUCUCAACAUAGUAGACGCAACAUAUGCAUAUACAAUCAUCCUUAUGAAAGCACUCGUGCACAUCUUACUCCGAUGAGCACCUCCGAGAGACUCAGCCGGCACAUCAUCUUAAGAUUGAUAAAGUUGCCAGAUGCUUUUGGGAAUGUCGCCUCCCACCGAACGCACAUCACCGGAAUGUCUGGAAUAAAUCCAUGAAAAUGCAAGCACCACUGUCAUCUGGGACUUGAAUUCUGGUGGACAGGGGAUAGUACCGUUCUCCUAAACAUCCAACCACAUGUUGGUUCGCGGAACAAAUUUUAUUGGACAACAACAUUUCAUUCUUCGCGAGCCACCAUGCGGUUGGAUGGUUAGGUGGACAGUGGUAUCCCCAGCCCAGCAAGGUUCAAGUUCUGGUGCUCGCAUUUAUUUUGGAUUUAUUUCAGGAUUCCUGGCGAUACGCAUUCAGUAAUAGAAGACGAUCCCGUCGACUACGAGGCGCCUAUGGCGACUUCGUAAAAUCUUAAGAUGAUAUGUCGGCUCAGUUUCUCGGACAUGCUCAUAAGGUGUGCCUGUGUGCGUUCAUAGAGGCAGGUGUAUGCGCAUAUAUAUAAGCGCUUGUGUCUGUACUGAUGUUAAAAAAACAACAUUUCAUUAUCCUUUACCAUAAUAAUAAUAUGCAUUUAAUAGUUACAUCAACAAAUAUUUAUGAAAUUGCAAUUACUUUGAAAUUAGGUAGGAUAUUAAUUGCGUGCAUAUAUUAGGUGUUAUUAUGUACGCAUUAAUUGUGUGACUAGCUAUGGCGCCCCGAUUCAAACGUACACUAAUUACGCAAACGUGUACGAUCAAGAUCAUAGACUUCCGAGAAGAUAUCACAACACAACUUUAAACACAAUAAAAGUCAUACAAGUUUCAUAUUACAAGUCAGGGGCUUCAAGGGCUCGAAUACAUAAGCUCGACACAAACGAGUCAGCGGAAGCAACAAUAUCUGAGUACAGACAUAAAGUUAAACAAGGUGACAUAAGAUGGCUAACACAAAAAUAGCAACGAUUGAAAAGGCAAGGCCUCCUGCCUGGGACCUCCUAACUACUCCUCGAAGUCAAACUCCACGUAGAAUCAUCCUCGGGAUCCUCUGGCUCCUGUGCUCCAUCAUAUGAUCGCAAUAACUAGGAAUAGGGAAAAAGAAGUACCAAAGUAACUGUGAGUACUGAUCCAAAGUACUCGCAAGACUGACAUCAGAUCUAAACUACAUAUGCAUUGGUAUUAAUGGGAGGGGUAGUAUCUGUGGACUAAACUGCAGGAUGACAGAAUAAGAGGGGGAGAAGCUAGCCCUAUCGAUGAUUACGCUUCUGGUAGCCUCCGUCUUGAAGCAUAUAGAAGAGAGUAGCAAGUAUAGUAUCAAGUUUCAUCGUACAACAUACAUCCUACCCGGCGAUCCUCUCCUCGUCACCCUGUGGAAGAGCAAUCACUGGGUUGUAUCUGGAAAUUGUAAGGGGUGUGUUUUAUUAAGCAGCCAGUCCUAGUUGUCAGAGGUCGGAAUACAACUCCAAGUUGUCAUGUUACCGUGGACACGGAUAUUCGUUGCCGUGUUUUCCCGGCCUUGGCAAUGACUACAGACGGCGGCCAGCUGCUCGGCGGAGCCGAGCUUGGCCAUGGCGAUGCGGUGGCUACGGGAGCACAAGAGGCCAGGGGAGCGAGGGAAGAAGAUGAGGGGCUCACCGAGCGGCACACACGGUGGCCCUUGGGGGUUUAGUAGCUGCAGAUUCGAGGCAGAUCAAACAGCGGCAUAGCGGUGGCCGCUGUUGGGGAAGAAGAUGCGAGUGACGACGAUGGCGCUCCUCGGGCUCGAUCCGGUGACGAGGAGGAAGAAGCAGUCCACCGCGGACCACCUGUACACCUCAGAGGAAGGAAUGGGCGCUGGUAGAGCGCGGUGCUCAACGGCAACGGCGCUCGAUGGUGAUGGAUCUAGAGGGAGAGAGGAGAGGAGCGAGCGAGGGAGAGCUGGGUGGCAUGGGCGAGUGGGGAGGGAGCCCGAGGCGUUGCGGCUGCCCUUAUCCCCUCGUCGGUGACGUGGCAGUACGGGGCGGCAUGCCCGGUUCGGCGGGGAUGCGCCCCGGUCGGAGGAGCAGUGAGGAAGGGGAUCGGCCGCGCGAGGGAAGGUGGGCCGGCUUGCUGGGGUGGGCUAAAGCCCAGUGGGGCAAGUGGGGCUUCUCUCUUCUCCUUUUUCCUUUCUUUUGCUAGAAAAAUGCUUUGCAAUAUUUGAGCUGCCAAAAGGAUUAUGUAAAAUGUGGGACUUGGCCACAUAAUUACAUUGCAAUAAUUGGCACUGCCACAAAAAGAUUGUGAGGCUUUUGAGAUAGUUUGCAUUUUUUAUAAAUUAAAAAGGCAUUUAAUCUAUUGUUUUAGCCACUGUUUUAAAUAGUUUAGUGCACUUAAACACUUUGCAAAAAUGUUGGUUCACUACCAAUAUUAGUUAUGGAUUAUUUGGCACAUGAUGAACAUUUUAGUUUUCAUGUUUGAGCAAAUUUUGAAUUUCACUUAGCAUUUGAAUUUGCAUUCAAAGGGGAAUUUGAAAGAGACAUGAGACGAUGGGCUUCCUCAAAUCGCCCUAGGUCUUCAUGAGCAAGCAAGUUGGAUGCACACCCACUUAGUUUUUCUUUUUGAGUUUUCAUAAAUUAUAGCUCUAGUGCAUCUGUUGCAUGGCAAUCCCUACUCACUCACAUUGAUAUCUAUUGAUGGGCAUCUCCAUAGCCCGUUGAUACGCCUAGUUGAUGUGAGACUAUCUCCCUAUUUUUGUCUUCUCUACAACUACUAUAUUCUAUUCCACCUAUAGUGCUAUGUCCAUGGCUCACGCUCAUGUACUGCGUGAAAGUUGAAAAAGUUUGAGAACACGAAAAGUAUGAAACAAUUCCUUGGCUUCACUACAAAAAAAAGACACAUCCGUGACAUUUUGGGCCGAACGAAUUUUUUUCUGUCAUACAUAUGACACUUCUAUGACGAUAAUUGUGACAAAACCCGGUAUCAUCAUAGAUGUGGUGGGCUCCUACUUCUAUGACAAAAAAUCAUGACAGAAAAUGGGCUUUUCGUCCUGGGCGGGCCGGAGACGCAUCUGCAUGACAUUCUUUGGGCCGUCCAUGAUGAAAAAAACCGUGGUAGAAGCGAGGGCGAGGAAAAUUUCGGGGAGUUCCCGGUUACGGUGGGAGGUCGGUGGCCGAGCGAUGCGCGUUUCUCUCGUACACGUACGCGCGUGUGUGCAAGGCGUUGGCUCUAACUGAACCCGAGCGAUUGCACUAUAGGCUACGCGUUACUGAACCCAAGUGAUCGAUCGAUGGUUGUUAACUGAACUCGAUCGAGCGAUUCCUUCGCUACUGCUGCUAACUGAAGCCGAUCUAUGUUGCCUCUAGGAUGAACAGUGAGUGUUUGGGGGGGGUAGAUGAACAGUGAGCGAUGGCGUUGCCUCUGAAUGAACAGGACCCCGUGGUGUGGAGGGCUGGAUGAACAGUAGAUGGUGGAGGGGUGCCCGUAGAGGGGUGGUUGAACAGUAGCCGGUGGAGUAGCGCACGGUGGAGGCUGGAUGGACAGGAGCCCGUGGAGGCUGGAGGAGGUCGACGAUAGCCCAUGGAGGCUGGAGGAGGUCGACGGUGGAGAUGAACAGUAUCCCGUGGAGUCCCGUUUUGCGGUACGCCACACCCCUCCCGAUGAACAGGACCGCUGUUUCGACCUAGCGCUCCAACACAAGUCCGUUUCGUCCAUUUUGCGGUACGCCACACCCCUCCCGAUCAACAGGACCCCCGUUUCGACUGUAGGAGGUCCGUUUCAUCCGUUUUGCGGUACGCCACACCCCUCUCGAUCAAUAGGACCCCCGUUUCGACCGUAGGAAGUUCGUUUCCUCUGUUUUGCGGUAUGCCACACCCCUCCCGAUGAACAGGAUCCCGUUUUGAACAUGGCCGGUCGAACACAAGGCCGUUUCCUCCGUUCUGCAGUACGCCAGGCCUCGUUUCCAUCGCAUGUUCCGUCCAAGCCCUUCCGAUGAACACGACCACGCAUUCCGUUCCGACCCAGCCGGUUGGCUCCCCAUGAACACGACGACGACACUGUUUCUCCGUUCCAACCCAGCCAUGUACACGAGCCCUGGCCGUACGUAUGCGCGAGUAGGCGUUCGAGACCCCGCCCGUCUAUACACAUACGUGGCCAUAUUUUCUUUCUUGCACCCUGACCGUUGUACGUACAUGUACAGGCUAUGUGCGCGCCUCUACUACGACAUGUACGCGCCUCUACUAUGACACAUGCGCGCCUCUACAUCGACCAGUAUAUAUGUACGUACACGUUCGCGACCAGAAUGACAACGCUACGUACGCUUCGACCAGGUGGGUCCCGACUAUCAUGCACUUCCUUGCGUGCGAAGAUGUAGCUGGUGGGUCCCAGCAGUCAGGGGGGGCGAAUCGUUUUUUUUUUUGCCCGGACGCACUUCCUUGCGUGUGAAGAUGUAGCUGGUGGGUCCCAGCAGUCAGGGGGAAAUGUUUUUUUCAUGAAAUACGGUGGCCCGUCCGGUGGGUCCCCGUUGUCAGGUGGAGGAAUAAUUAUUUUGCGUGUAAUAAGGAGGCACUUCCUUGCUGCGGCCGUGGACCCAGCUGUCAGCCUCUCCACGUACAGUCCACGUCCGAUGGAAGCCGUUUCUUGACCACGUUGACCACGCCGCGCCGAGAGCACCAGGGCGGUGGACGACGGCGAGGCCUAGGAAGGGGACGACGCGGAGCCGGGGAAGACGCGGCAGUGGAUGCCCACGCGUAGAGGAGUACGAGGGUUCACUAGUUCGCUGCAGUGUGAGGCUGCCAUCGCCGCAGAAUAACAGGGGGUGUGGGUGAGUAGAGGGAUGGCCUGGCCAGUGGUGGGAGUAGUAGGGGCGGUGAGGCCUCCGCCGCAUCGCAACCGGCCACGGGAGGCAGGAGCACAAGGCACGACCAGCGCUGGUUUGGGCGGCUGGAGCAACAAGACCAGAGGUUGAAGAAGCACUACGGCCGUUGGAUGGACAUUGUACGGUCACUGGAGCUAGAAUCGUGCAUAUUAACUAAGUUGACAAAGCCCUCCGUCCUCGUCAACUUAGUAGGCCCACAAGCCAGCCUGCCACUAUACUGGGUCCCAGCUAAUAGGGGGAGUAUUCAUUUUUUUGUGCGUAAUAAGGAGGCACUUCCUUGCGUGUGAAGAUAUAGCUGGUGGGUUUGAGCUGUCAGCGGCGGUAACGUUUUUUUCACAUAAUAUAGAGGCCCUUUCGGUGGGUCCCUGAUGUCAGGUGGAGGAAUCAUUAUUUUGCGCGUAAUAAGGAGGCAUUUCCUUGCGUGCGGCCGUGGACCCAGCUGUCGGCCUCUCCACGUACAGUCCACUUCAGAUGCAUAUCAGUCGUUAACCACGUUGACCAGGCCGUGCCGAGAGCACUAGGGCGGUGGACGACGGCGAGGCCUAGGAAGGGAAUGACAUGGAGGCAGGGAAGGCUCGACAGUUGUUUCCCACGCGGAGGGGAGUACGACUGUACGACGGUUUACUGGUUCGUCUGCCGUUGCCGGAGAAUAACAGCAGGUGUGGGCGAGUAGAGGGAUGGGUAGGCCAGCGAUGGGAGUACGGUGGGGUGGUGAGGCCUGCGCGGCAGCACAGCCGGCCGCGGGGAGGAGGGAGCACGCAGUCCCACCGGCGCUUGUUUGAGUGGCUGGAGCAGGAAGAGCAGAGAUUGAAGAAGCACGACGGUCGUUGGAUGGACAUCCAACAGUCACUCCUUGUGCGUCAACCUUUUUUUAGGAAAGCCUCAAAUCUGUGGAAAACAGCAUACAACCCAUAUGCCAUUAUUUCUAAUAAUUUACAGCCCAUUUGCUAAUUCUUAAGGUUUUUUAGCCCAUAUUCUUUUUGUUAGCAUUACAGCCCAUAUUGUGGCCACGGUUAAAAAAUUAUACGAAAUUUUGCAUAUUUCGGUGCAGUCCGAACUAUUUUUAAUCCCGAAAUUUCGACUCAGAUUCAAACUGAUCGAACACAUGGUUAUUAUUUUCAUGUUUUCUGUUGAUCGAACACAUCAAUGAUUUACAUUACAUUGUUGUAACUAGGAGAGGGUCAAUCUGGAUAGUCAUGACGAGCAAAGCUUGCUUAUGCUUUUCAAGGAAGCAUUGCAGCAGUAUCGGUGUUACCUGAGGAAAUCACACUUUGAUGGCAAGUCUAUAAACGAAUUUCCGGUGAAGUCUCCUGUGCUAAAUUUAGAAGACAUUGAAUGAAAAAACCUUGUUAUGCACUGGUCUCAUUCCCAGGAUGAGGUACUAUCUAGGAAAUCACAUGACAAUUUGAACUUCUACUUUUCCGCAUGUGCCUUACGGAUCUUUUUUGCAGGAAAUCUACUCGAAGAAGAAUUCCGGUUUGAAUUUUUUUAGCUCUACAUUGUUCUUGUAAGUACAUGCUGUCCUUUAUCAGUGUACUUAUAUUGACAGGUUGCUGUUCAUGUACCAUCACUGUGCAGCUUAUUUUCCUUUGCCCUCCAUUUUCUACACAUCAGAUCUAUAUUUACUCUUACCAUAAGGUUGGUAUUGAAGAAGUUUAGUUGUGCAUUGCUCUUGGCUGUGCCUUUUGCCUGUAUCGCUAUACAUACAUUUAUAGCUACUUGGUUAUAUAGCAUCACUCUUCAUCUUAUCUUAAAUAUUCUCCAUUUUUCGUAUAUUAUCACAUCUAUAGUUACUCUUUAUAAAAUGUAGAAUAAAGGCAAUGCUUAUGAAGAAGAUUCUGUGGUAAACUUCUUGAAUUGCCCCCCCCCCCCAUCAGCAUGGACAAGGGCUUUAUAGAGCCUGUCUUCACCAGUAAUGUAAGUUUGUCCUUCUCAAGGCUUCAAACUUUGUUGUGUAUAUUUGGUUAGGCAUGGCUGCAACAACUGUUUAUUUUUGGUGUUUGCAUCAAAUUGCAUGUUUAAAGUUUAUUAUGUAGUUCAUAAACAAAAGUUUGUCCUUCUCAAUUGAAGUUUUCAGUUGUACAACCAAGUUCCUUCUUCAUACCAUGUAAAUUAAACUAUACAUAGCAAGUGAUCUUCUUUUGCACUGCAUGUAUGCUUCUGUUCUUCAUCUGUAAUCCAAUGGUGUGGUGAACCUACCCACUACAACACAAUGUCAUAUUCUGCAAUGUCUUAACUAUGAACAAUGUCAUAUCAUUCUACUAUUAUUUAAACCGUCUCUUUAUUUGCAAUCUGAAAUGGGAUAAAUUGGCAGCACACUAACCAUUGAUACUUAUGAGUUCUUGAUCUGUAAUCUAGUGGUGUCGUGAAGCUGCCAACUCCUUCACAAUGUCAUUUCCUGCCAUGUCUUGACCUGAACAAUACCAUAUUGUGUUAAUGCAAUUUUAAACUGUGUCACUUUAUUCGUCAGUAAGAAAUGUGAUGAAUUGUCAGCACUGAUACUUUUAUGUGCAAAACCUGUCAUCUGUCUGCUUGUUUAUCUUUCAGAGUGAGGAAGAUAUAAGUGUUGAACAAGCGCAGUCUCAUCAUCUUGCUCAGCUGCUUGCGCUGCAGCUCCCCAGCAGGGCUAACCUUUCUUGAACUCUAUUGAAGUGCUGUCAGUUUUGUAUAUUAUUUUGUCGGCGUGUUUAUUUGCACUGGUGGCGAUCUUUGAUGCCCAGUGUAUGUAAUCUGAUGUCUGCUUGUGCUUUAUUAUCAUAGUGGCAAACUUUGAUGCCCAGUGGAUGUAAUAUGCCAUAAUUUCUUUAUUGUAUAGUCUAGGUUUUUUCUUAUUCACGAUGCUGCUGUUAUUUUACUAUAUAUAUAUCCUGUCUUCGCAGUAAACCGGCCAAACCGUAAAAUUACGGUACAUAAUCGGGCCGUCAUGCAAUCACGAUGUAUGAUCCGCAUCAUGGUCCCCGUCAAACUGGCCCACUAGUAGAUUCAGGCCUUUAAUAGGCCGAGUAACCCCUGACCCUCUUUUCACAAGAAAACUCAAUGGGCUUUUAGGAGGCUGAGAAGUAGGUUUGGCCUGAAAUGUGCCCAAUAGCUCACGGGCCGGCAGCAGACCGAAAUGGACCCCGAACCAUGAUUGUGUGAAUCAACUCACGGGCUUUUAACAUGCCAAAGUUGUCUCGGUCCUUGUUUGGCCCAAUCAGAUAUCGGAUGCGAGCAGGCCGGAUGCAAACCGGGCCGUAGUUAGGCCCAACUAUAUGACGGGCUUUUAACAGGCCAAAAUAUUAAACGGGCCCUUAACAGGCCAAAACUAAUAUCAGGCCGAAUUACUAAAUGGGCCUUUAGCAAGUGGGCCCAAAAUCAUAGCGUCCAGUUAAUGGGCCGAAUCUGAUAUGGGCCAUAACUAAGCCCAAAGCCUCUUAAAGGGCCGGACCUGAUCUGGGCCGUGAUUUGGCCCAGAACGUGGGAGGCUUUUAACGGGCCGGAUUUCAUAUGGGCCAUUAUUAGGCCCGGAAUGUGGCAGGCCAUUAAUGGACCAGAUCAAAUAUGGGCCGGCAUUUGGCCCAAAACAUGGCAGCCAGUUAAUGGGCCGGCCUACUAGGGUCCUCAAAAUCUUGUGGGCCUACAGCUGGGCCGGCCCAUUAAUGUCGGCAAAAUCUCAUGGGCCUUAAGCUGGGCCGGCCCAUUAUGAUCCGCAAGAAUUUUUGGGCCUUUACCUGGGCCGGCCCAUUAUGGCACACAAAAAUCUUGUGGGCCUUUACCUGGGCCGGCCCAUUAUGCCCGUGAAAUCUUGUGGGCCUUUAGCUGGGCUAGCCCAUUAUGGUCGGCAAAAUCUCGUGGGCCUUUAGCUAGGCCGGCCCAUUAUGGUCCGCAAAAUCUUGUGGGCGUUUAGUUGCCGGCCAAUUUAAACUUGAUGGGUCGUGCCACGUGUCGACGUAUCAUAGGCGCCUUCUAUCCAAUGAGUGGAUGACAUCUGUCCCAACGAUGAGCCGACACGUGUUUCCUCCAGCCAAUGAUGAUUUUACACGUGGAAAAUCCCCAUUGGUUGGGGAUGUUAACGGGUUAUUGGAUCCAAAACCCGACCCGAUAGCUUAACGGCGUUCCGUUACGGUGGAUGCCACAUGUCGGUCACCCUUGACGAAAGCACUUCUGUGACGCGCGAUUUAUCAUCAUGGAAGUGGACACUUCCGUGAUGAUAAUUUUGGUAAUGUCAUGGAACACUUUUACGACAGCACAGGUAUGACUAUCUUGAUUCUGUCAUAAAAUUUUCAUGGAUGUACAUGCAUGACAAAAAACACGACCUACUAUGACAAACACGUAUCAUCACGGAAGUGUAUUUUUUUGUAGUGCUUGUCAUCGGGGUUGAGCGUGAUUUGAAUAUUUUGUGUGAUAAAGAUGGAGCAUAGCCAGACUAUAUGAUUUUGUAGGGAUAAGCUUUCUUUGGCCAUGUUAUUUUGAGAAGACAUAUUUGCCUUGUUAGUAUGCUUGAAGUAUUAUUCUUUUUAUGUCAAUAUUAAACUUUUGUUUUUAAUCUUAUGGAUCUGAACAUUCAUGCCACAAUAAAUAAAAAUUACACGGAUAAAUAUGUUAGGUAGCAUUUCACAUCAAAAAUUCUGUUUUUAUCAUUUACUUACUCGAGGACGAGCAGGUAUUAAGCUUGGGGAUGCUUGAUACGUCUCCAACGUAUCUAUAAUUUUUGAUUGUUCCAUGCUAUUAUAUUAUCUGUUUUGGAUAUUUUAUAUGCAUUAAUAUGCUAUUUUAUAUUAUUUUUUGGACUAACCUAUUAACCUAGAGCCCAGUGCCAGUUUCUGUUUUUUCCUUGUUUUUGAGCUUCGUAGAGAAGGAAUACCAAACGGAGUCCAAACAGAAUAAAACUUUCGCGAUGAUUUUUCUUGGACCAGAAGACACCCUAGAGACUUGGAUUUCAAGUCAGAAGAGCCACGAGGCAGCAAGAAGGGGGGAGGGCGUGCCCCCUGCCUUGUGGGCCUCACGUGACUCCACCGACCUACUUGUUCGUCCUAUAUAUUCACAUAUAUCCCCAAACCACUAGAAGCAUCCACGAAAAUACUUUUCCACCGCCGCAACCUUCUAUUCCCGUGAGAUCCCAUCUAGGGGCCUUUUUUGGCAUCCUGUUGGAAGGGGAUCCGAUCACGAAGGGCUUCUACAUCAACUCUAUUACCCUUCGGAUGAAGCGUGAGUAGUUUAGCUUAGACCUACGGCUCCAUAGCUAGUAGCUAGAUGGCUUCUUCUCUCUCUUUGAUUCUCAAUACCAUGUUCUCCUCGAUGUUCUUGGAGAUCUAUCCGAUGUAACCUUCUUUUGCGGUGUUUUUGUUGAGAUUCGACGAAUUGUCGAUUUAUGAUUAGCUUAUCUAUGAAUAUUAUUUUAAUCUUCUCUGAAUUAUUAUAUGCAUGAUUUGACAUCUUUGUAAUUCUCUUUGAACUAUCGGUUUUGUUUGGCCAACUAGAUUGGUUUUUCUUGCAAUGGGAGAAGUGCUUAGCUUUGGGUUCAAUCUUGUGGUGUCCUUUCCCAGUGAUAGUAGGGGCAGCAAGGCACGUAUUGUAUUGUUGCCAUCAAGGAUAAAAAGAUGGGGUUUACAUCAUAUUGCUUGAGUCUAUUCCUCUACAUCAUGUCAUCUUACUUAAUGUGUUACUCUAUUCUUCAUGAACUUAAUACUUUAUAUGCAGGCAGGAGUCGGUCGAUGUGUGGAGUAAUAGUAGUAGAUCCAGAAUCGUUUCAGUCUACUUGACACGGACGUGAUGCCUAUAUUUCAUAAUCAUUGCCUUAGAUAUCUCCAUAACUUUGUGAUUUUCUAUCAAUUGCUUGACAGUAAUGCGUUCACCCAUCGUAUUAUUUGCUAUCCUGAGAGAAGCCACUAGUGAAACCUAUGGCCCCCGAGUCUAUUUUCCAUCAUAUAAGUUUCUGAUCUACUAUUUUGCAAUCUUUUACUCUCCAAUCUAUAAACCAAAAAAAUACCAAAAAUAUUCACUUUACCUUUUGUUUAGUUUCAUCUAUCUCUAUUAGAUCUCACUUUUGCAAGUGACCUUGAAGGGAUUGACAACCCCUUUAUCGCGUUGGGUGCAAGUUGUUUGAUUGUUCGUGCAGGUAUUAGUUAUUUGUGCAUUGUCUCCUACUGGAUUGAUACCUUGGUUCUCUAACUAAGGGAAAUACUUAUCUCUAUUUGCUACAUCACCCUUUCCUCUUCAAGGGAAAAAUCAACUCAAGCUCAAGAAGUAGUAGGUACUCCAUCCUUAAAAGAAUAAUUAGCAAGCAUGGUGGAGAUUUUAGCUUCCAGUAUCUUUCUUUUAUUAAUGAUGAUGCCUUUCAUAUAUUCUGCAUAAGGGGCCAUCUUUAAAAUAUCAGUCAAGCGAGUGCGCAAAAAGACUGCCUAAGCAUUUUAGCAAAGGGAUCAAAUUCUUCAUCAUCCUUUUUCUUACUUGAUUUAGAUGGAAAGGGCAUGGGUUUUUGAACCCAUGGUUCUCUUUCUCUUCCAUGUUUUCUAGCAACAAAGUCUCUUUUAUCAGAUCUUUUAUUUCUAGGUUGUGGGUUAUCAAGAUCAGCAGUUGGUUCUAUUUCAACAUCAUUGUCUAGUUGUUUAUCAUUGUAUGGUUGAGUGUCUUCAUGAACAUUAUCAUUAUCUUUUUCAUUAUCACUAGAUGAAUGUUCAUUACCAGAUUGAGUUUCAGCAUCAGAAAUAGAAACAUCAUUAUUAUCAUCAGGAGGUUUUUCUAUCUUAGGUUCACUUGAGGUAUGAAAAGUCCUAUCAUUUUUCUUUUUCUUCUUCUUUUUAGAAGAACUAGGUGCAUCAGUGUCAAUUCUUUGAGAGUCUUGUUCAAUUCUUUUAGGGUGUCCCUCAGGAUAAAGUGGUUCUUGAGUCAUUCUACCUCCUCUAGUGACUACUCUAAUAGCAUGAUCAUUCAUAUUAUUAUUCAUCUCAUCAAGCACUUCUCUUUGAGAUUUAGCAACUUGUUCUAGUUGAGUUUGAACCAUAGAGGCAUGUUUUCCUACACCUCUAAAAUCAUUGGAGAUUCUAAAUAACAAGUCACUCAAGCGAGCAAUCAUAUUGGAAUUAUAUUUCAAUUGUUUCAUAACAUUUUCAUUGAAGUGAUCUUGUUUUCUAAUGUAAUUCUCAAACUCAUAAAGGCAUUGACUAGGAUGUUUAUUAUAAGGGAUGUCACUUUCAUAAAAUUUCAUUAAAUAAUUUACCUCUACCACCUUUGGUGGUGGUGUGUCAAGUCCAUGUAUUUCUUCAAUGGGGAGGUAAAAUUUUGACAUCCUCUGCUUUAAUACCAUUUUCCUUCAUACUUUUCUUUGCCUCUUGCAUAUCUUCAGGACUUAGAUAUAAAAUACCCCUCCUAUUUGGAGUGGGCUUAGGCGGUGGUUCAGGAAGAGUCCAAUCAUCAUAAGUUUUCAAUAUAUUAUGAAAUAAUUCCUCAGCUUGUCCAACAGCUCGUUCCCUGAAAACACAACUAACACAACUAUCUAGGAAGUCCCUAGAAGCAUCGGUUAGUCCAUUAUAGAAGAUAUCAAGUAUUUCAUUUGUCUUAAGAGGAUGACCAGGCAAAGCAUUAAGCAAUUGGAGAAGCCUCCCCAAGCUUGUGGGAGACUCUCUUCUUCAAUUUGCACAAAGUUAAAUAUUUCCUGUAAGGUAGCUUGUUUCUUAUGAGCAGGAAAAUAUUUUUUAGAGAAGUAAUAAAUCAUAUCCUGGGUACUACGCACACAACCAGGAGCAAGAGUAUUGUACCAUUUCUUAGCAUCACCCUUUAAUGAGAAUGGAAAUAAUUUGAAAAUAUAGUAGUAGCAAAUAUUCUCAUCAUGAGCAAAUAGGGUGGCUAUAUCAUUUAAUUUAGUAAGAUGUGCCACAACAGUUUCAGUUUCAUAGCCAUGGAAAGGAUCAGAUUCAACCAAAGUAAUUAACUCUGGGUCGAUAGAGAAUUCAUAAUCAUUAUCAUCAACAAAGAUAGGUGAAGUAGAGAACUUAGGAUCACAUUUCAUUCUAGCAUUCAAAGAUUUUUCUUUCAGUUUACAUAGUAAUUUCUUAAGGUCAUCUCUAUCAUUGCAAGCAAGAAAAUCUCUAGCUGUCUCCUCAUCCAUAACAUAAUGUUUAUGUAGCUUAUGCAAUUCAUAUCUAGGAGAGCUAGGUCUAAUAGGUGUUUCAAGAUUUUCAGUUUCAAGUGCUUCAUCAGUUUCAAUAACUUCAUCAGUUUCAGCAUUCUCAAUAUCUUUAGCUCUAGCAAUCUGUUCAUCAAGAAAAUCACCUAGUGGCACAUUGUCAUCAAGCAAGGUACUAGCAUCAUCAUGAGUAUCAUUCAUAGCAGAGGUAGAUUUAUCAACAACUCGCGACAUAUUAGAAUUAAUAGCAUGUGGAGGUGUUACAAGUCUACUCAAAGUAGAAGGUGAAUCAAGUGCAAAGUGUGACGGCAGUUCCUUACCUCCCCUCGUCUUAGAGGAAAAAAUCUUAGUCUUUGUAUCCUUCAGGUUCUUCGUAGCAAUCAAUAGAUAAUAAUCCCAAGUGACUUAACAAAUAUAGCUAUGCUCCCCGGCAACGACGCCUGAAAAAGGUCUUGAUAACCCACAAGUAUAGGGGAUCACAACAGUUUUCGAGGGUAGAGCAUUCAACCCAAAUUUAUAGAUUCGACACAAGGGGAGCCAAAGAAUAUUUACGUAUUAGCAGCUGGGUUGUCAAUUCGACCACACCCGGAGAUUAAUUAUCUGCAGCAAGGUGAUCAGUAGCACAGUAAUAUGAUAGUUUUGAUAGUAGUGGUAACACUAGCAGUAACAGUAACAGUGAUUGUUGGGGAACGCGGGAAUUUCAAAAAAAAUCCUACAAUCACACAAGAUCUAUCUAGGUGAUGCAUAGCAACGAGAGGGGAGAGUGUGUCCACGUACCCUCGUAGACCGAAAGCGGAAGCGUUAGUUAACGCGGUUGAUGUAGUCGAACGUCUUCACGAUCCAACCGAUCAAGUACCAAACGUAUGGCACCUCUGCGUUCAACAUACGUACAGUUUGAUGACGUCCCUCGUACCAUUGAUCCAGUUAAGGCCGAGGGAGAGUUUCGUCAGUACGACGGCGUGGCGACGGUGAUGAUGAAGUUACCAGCGCAGGGCUUUGCCUAAGCACUACGACGAUAUGACCUAGGUGUGUAGUUGUGGAAGGGGGCACCACACACGGCUAAACAAUCAACUUGUGUGUCUAUGGUGUGCCCCUGGCCACAUAUAUAAAGGAGGAGGGAAGAGGUGGCCGGCCCAAGGGGGCACGCCAGGUGUGGGGUAUCCUACUAGGACUCCCUAGUCCAAUUAGGAUUCCCCUCCUCUUUCCUAUUCCUAGUAGGAGAAGGAGGGAAAGAGGAGGAGGAGGAGAGAAGGAAGGAGGGGGAGCGCCGCCCCCUCCCUUGUCCAAUUCAGAUUGGGGCAAGGGGGGGGGGGGCACCUCCUGGCAUGCCCUCUCUCUUCUCCACUAAGGCCCAUGAGGCCCAAUAACUUCCCGAAGGGGGUUCUGGUAACCCCCGGUACUCCGAAACUUAUCCGAAUCAACCCAAACCAUUCCGGUGUCCAAAUGUAGCCUUCCAAUAUAUGAAUAUUUAUGUCUAGACCAUUUAGAGACUCCUCGUCAUGUCCGUGAUCUCAUCCGGGACUCUGAACAAAAUUCGGUCAUCAAAACACAUAACUCUUAAUACAAAUCAUCAUCGAACGUUAAGCGUGCGGACCCUACGGGUUCGAGAACUAUGUAGACAUGACCGAGAAACAUCUCCGGUCAAUAUCCAAUAGCGGAACCUGGAUGCUCAUAUUGGCUCCUACAUAUUCUACGAAGAUCUUUAUCGGUCAAACCGCAGAACAACAUACGUUGUUCCCUUUGUCAUCGGUAUGUUACUUGCCUGAGAUUCGAUUGUCGGUAUCAUCAUACCUGGUUCAAUCUCGUUACCGGCAAGUCUCUUUACUCAUUCUGUAAUACUUCAUCCUGCAACUAACUCAUUAUUUACAAUUCUUGCAAGGCUUAUAGUGAUGAGUAUUACCGAGAGGGCCCAGAGAUACCUCUUCGAAACACGGAGUGACAAAUCCUAAUCUUGAUCUAUGCCAACCCAACAAACACCUUUGGAGACACUUGUAGAGCACCUUUAUGAUCACCCAUUUACAUUGUGACAUUUGGUAGCACACAAAGUGUUCCUCCGGUAUUCGGGAGUUGCAUAAUCUCAUAGUCCGAGGAACAUGUAUAAGUCAUGAAGAAAGCAGUAGCAAUAAAACUAUGAUGAUCAUAAUGCUAAGCUAACGGAUGGGUCAUGUCCAUCACAUCAUUCUCCUAAUGAUGUGAUCCCGUUAAUCAAAUGACAACACAUGUCUAUGGUUAGGAAACAUAACCAUCAUUGAUAAAUGAGCUAGUCAAGUAGAGGCAUACUAGGGACAAUAUGUUUCGUCUAUGUAUUCACACAUGUACUAAGUUUCCGGUUAAUACAUUUCUAGGAUGAAUAACAAACAUUUAUCAUGAAAUAAGGAAAUAAAUAAUAACUUUAUUAUUACCUCUAGGGCAUAUUUCCUUUAGUCUCCCACUUGCACUAGAGUCAAUAAUCUAGAUUACAUAGUAAUGAUUCUAACACCCAUGGAGCUUUGGUGUUGAUCAUGUUUUGCUCGUGGAAGAGGCUUAGUCAACAGGUCUGCAAUAUUCAUAUCCAUAUCUAUCUCGCAAAUAUCUAUGGCCCCUACCGACACUUGAUGACGAAUGGAAUUGAAGCGUCUCUUGAUGUGCUUGGUUCUCUUGUGAAAUCUGGAUUCCUUUGCCAAGGCAAUUGCACUAGUAUUGUCACAAAAGAUUUUCAUUAGACCCGAUGCACUAGGUAUGACACCUAGAUCAGAUAUGAACUCCUUCAUUUGCCGCUUCCGAAGCAGCAAUAUACUCCGCUUCACACAUAGAUCCCGCCACGACGCUCUGCUUGAACUGUCCCAACUGAUAGCUCCUCCAUUCAAUAAAAAUAUGUAUCCGUUUGCAACUUAGAGUCAUGCGGAUCAAUGUCAAAGCUUGAAUCGACGUAACCGUUUAUGACAAGCUCUUUUUCACCUCCAUAAACGAGAAACAUAUCCUUAGUCCUUUUCAGGUAUUUCAGGAUGUUCUUGACCGUUGUCCAGUGCUCCACUCCGGGAUUACUUUGGUACCUCCCUGCUAUGCUUAUAGCAAGACAUACAUCAGGUCUGGUGCACAUCAUUGCAUACAUGAUAGAACCUAUGGCUGAAGCAUAGGGAAUGACUUUCAUGUUCUCUCUAUCUUCUGCAGUGGUCGGGCAUUGAGUCUGACUCAACUUCACACCUUGUAACACAAGCAAGAACCCUUUCUUUGCCUAAUCCAUUUUGAACUUCUUCAAAACUUUAUCAAGGUAUGUUCUUUGUGAAAGUCCAAUUAAGUGUCUUGAUCUAUCUCUAUAGAUCUUGAUGCCUAAUAUGUAAGCAUCUUCACCGAGGUCUUUCAUUGAAAAACUCUUAUUCAGGUAUCCCUUUAUGCUAUCCAGAAAUUCUAUAUCAUUUCCAAUCAACAAUAUGUCAUCCACAUAUAAUAUUAGAAAUGCUACAGAGCUCCCACUCACUUUCCUGUAAAUACAGGCUUCUCCAAAAGUCUAUAUAAAACCAUAUGCUUUGAUCACACUAUCAAAGCAUUUAUUCCAACUCCGAUAGGCUUGCACCAUCCCAUAAAUGGAUUGCUGGAGCUUGCACACUUUGUUAGCACCCUUUGGAUCGACAAAACCUUUUGGUUGCAUCAUAUACAACUCUUCUUCCAGAAAUCCAUUCAGGAAUGUAGUUUUGACAUCCAUCUGCCAAAUUUCAUAAUCAUAAAAUGCGGCAAUUGCUAACAUGAUUCGGACAGACUUAAGCAUUGCUACGGGUGAGAAAGUCUCAUCGUAGUCAACUCCUUGAACUUGUCGAAAACCUUUCGCAACAAGUCGUGCUUUGUAGACAAUAACAUUACCGUCUGCGUCGGUCUUCUUCUUGAAGAUCCAUCUAUUUUCUAUGGCUUGUCGAUCAUCGGGCAAGUCUACCAAAGUCCGCACUUUGUUCUCACACAUGGAUCCCAUCUCAGAUUUCAUGGCCUCAAGCCAUUUAGAGGAAUCUGGGCUCAUCAUAGCUUCCUCAUAGUUCGUAGGUUCACCAUGGUCUAGUAACAUGCCUUCCAGAACAGGAUUACCGUACCACUCUGGUGCGGAUCUUACUCUGGAAGACCUACGAGGUUUGGUAGUAACUUGAUCUGAAGUUUUAUGAUCAUCAUCAUUAACUUCCUCACUAAUUGGUGUAGGAAUCACUGGAACUGAUUUCUGUGAUGAACUACUUUCCAAUAAGAGAGAAGGUAUAAUUACCUCAUCAAGUUCUACUUUCCUCCCACUCACUUCUUUCGAGAGAAACUCCUUCUCUAGAAAGGAUCCAUUCUUAGCAACAAAUAUCUUGCCUUCGGAUCUAUGAUAGAAGGUGUACCCAACAGUUUUCGGGUAUCCUAUGAAGACGCACUUCUUCGAUUUGGGUUCGAGCUUAUCAAGUUGAAGCUUUUUCACAUAAGCAUCGCAGCCCCAAACUUUAAGAAACGACAACUUUGGUUUCUUGCCAAACCACAAUUCAUAAUGCGUCGUCUCAACGGAUUUUGAUGGUGCGCUAUUUAAAGUGAAUGAAACCGUCUCUAAAGCAUAACCCCAAAACGAUAGCGAUAAAUCAGUAAGAGACAUCAUAGAUUGCACCAUAUCCAAUAAAGUACGGUUACGACGUUCAGACACACCAUUUCGCUAUGGUGUUCUAGGUGGCAUUAGUUGUGCAACUAUCCCAUGUUGUUUCAAAUGAAGACCAAACUCGUAACUCAAAUAUUCACCUCCACAAUCAGAUCGUGGAAACUUUAUUUUCUUGUUACGAUGAUUUUCCACUUCACUCUGAAAUUAUUUGAAAUUUUCAAAUGUUUCAGACUUAUGCUUCAUUAAGUAGCUAUAACCAUAUCUGCUCAAAUCAUCUGUGAAGGUAAGAAAAUAACAAUACCCGCCACGAGCCUCAAUACUCAUCGGACCGCAUACAUCUGUAUGUAUUAUUUCCAAUAAGUCAGUAGCUCGUUCCAUUGUUCCGUAGAACGGAGUUUUAGUCAUCUUGCCCAUAAGGCACGGUUCGCAAACACCAAGUGAUUCAUGAUCAAGUGAUUCCAAAAGUCCAUUAGCAUGGAGUUUCUUCAUGCGUUUUAUACCGAUAUGACCCAAACGGCAGUGCCACAAAUAAGUUGCACUAUCAUUAUCAACUUUGCAUCUUUUGGCUUCAAUAUUAUGAAUAUGUGUAUCAUCACUAUCGAGAUUUUACAAAAAUAGACCACUCAGCAAGGGUGCAUGACCAUAAAUAUAUUACUCAUAUAAAUAGAACAACCAUUAUUCUCUGAUUUAAAUGAAUAACCGUCUCGCAUCAAACAAGAUCCAUAUAUAAUGUUCAUGCUCAACGCUGGCACAAAAUAACAAUUAUUCAGGUCUAAAACUAAUCCUGAAGGUAGAUGUAGAGGUAGUGUGCCAACGGCGGUCACAUCGACCUUGGAACCAUUUCCCACGUGCACCGUCACCUCGUCCUUAGCUAAUCUUCGUUUAAUCCGUAGCCCCUGUUUCGAGUUGCAAAUAUGAGCAACAUAACCAGUAUAAAAUACCCAGGCGCUACUACGAGCAUUAGUAAGGUACACAUCAACAACAUGUAUAUCAAAUAUACCUUUCACUUUUCCAUCCUUAUUAUUUGCCAAAUACUUGGGGCAGUUCCGCUUCCAGUGACCAGUCCCUUUGCAGUAGAAGCACUCGGUUUCAAGCUUAGGUCCAGACUUGGGUUUCUUCUCUUGAGCAGCAACCUUUUGCCGUUCUUCUUGAAGUUACCCUUCUUCCCUUUGCUCUUUUUCUUGAAACUAGUGCUCUUGUUGACCAUCAACACUUGAUGCUCCUUCUUGAUUUCUACCUCCACAGCUUUUAGAUCGCGAAGAGCUCGGGAAUAGUCUUGUUCAUCCCUUGCAUAUUAUAGUUCACCAUGAAGCCUUUAUAGCUUGGUGGUAGUGAUUGAAGAACUCUGUUAAUGACACUAUCAUCAGGAAUAUUAACUCCCAGCUGAGUCAAGUGGUUAUGGUACCCAGACAUUCUGAGUAUGUGUUCACUGACAGAACUAUUCUCCUCCAUUUUGCAGCUGUAGAACUUGUUGGAGACUUCAUAUCUCUCAACUCGGGCAUUUGCUUGAAAUAUUAACUUCAACUCUUGGAACAUCUCAUAUGCUCCAUGACGUUCAAAACGUCUUUGAAGUCCCGAUUCUAAGUCGUAGAGCAUGGCACACUGAACUAUCCAGUAGUCAUCAACAUGCGUCUGCCAAGCAUUCACAAUGUUUGUAGUUGCUGGCGCGGGUGCUACACCUAACGGUGCUUCCAGGACAUAAUUCUUCUGUGCGGCAAUGAGGAUAAUCCUCAAGUUACAGACCUAGUCCGUGUAGUUGUUGCCAUCAUCUUUCAACUUAGCUUUCUCUAGGAACACAUUAAAAUUCAAAGGAACGGUAGCACGGGCCAUUGAUCUACAAUAACAUAGACAUGCAAAAUAACUAUCAAGACUAAGUUCAUGAUAAAUUAAAGUUCAAUUAAUCAUAUUACUUAAGAACUCCCACUUAGAUAGACAUCCCUAUAGUCAUCUAAAUGAUCACGUGAUCCAAAUCAACUAAACCAUGUCCGAUCAUCAUGUGAGAUGGAGUAGUUUUCAAUGGUGAACAUCACUAUGUUGAUCAUAUCUACUAUAUGAUUCACGUUCGACUUUUCGGUCUCAGUGUUCCGAGGCCAUAUCUCUAUAUGCUAGGCUCGUCAAGUUUAACCCAAGUAUUCUGCGUGUGCAAAACUGGCUUGCACCCGUUGUAUGCGAAUGUAGAGCUUAUCACACCCGAUCAUCACAUGGUGUCUUGGCACGAGCAAUGGUGCAUACUCAGGGAGAACACUUGUACCUUGAAAUUUAGUAAGGGCUCAUCUUAUAAUGCUACCACCGUACUAAGCAAAAUAAGAUGCAUAAAAGAUAAACAUCACAUGCAAUCAAAAUAUGAGACAUGAUCUGGCCAUCAUCAUCUUGUGCUCAUGAUCUCCAUCACUGAAGCAUCGUCAUGAUCUCCAUCGUCACCGGCGCGACACCUUGAUCUCCAUCGUAGCAUCGUUGCAGUCUUGUCAACUAUUGUUACUACGACUAUCGCUACCGCUUGGUGAUAAAGUAAAACAAUUACAUGGUGAUUGCAUUGCAUACACUAAAGCGACAACCAUAUGUGUAACACCCCAAAAAUUUAACCAUGAUUUGUUUAUUAAAAUUUUGCCAGGAAAUUAAAUCUUUAUUUUCUGGAUUUAUCUUUUGAUUUCAGAACCUCUUUUUUCUUUGAUAUUGUGGAGUUUUUACCCCAAGUGAAUUUUUUUCCAAAAAUACUAUUGGACUUGUAUACCCUCUCUAGAAACAUUUCUUUCAUCUGUGGAAUUCUUUAUACGAUUAUUUUCCCUGAGCUUUAUUUCUUUUAAAAAUGAUUUUUCACAAGCUUUAGAGUCUCUUUUGCACUACAACCCUUUGAUAAAUUUAUUUAAAAAUCCCACCAAAAUUUGGGGAUGACAUGUGAUGUUCCUAGAUCACUUUUAUGCAAAAAUAUCUUUUAGUCAUUUGGAGAUUUUGAGCUCUACCCCAAGUUUUCAAAUCUGGUCCAGUUUGCACUUUUGCACUACAACCUAUUUAAAUAUUCCUUUAAAACUUCCACCAAAUUAGGGGAGGUCAGUAGGAGUAUAUAAUUCAACUUUGUGCAAAAACCCACUGGUGUUCUUUGAAAAAUUUGAGCAAAACAUCCUCUUUUGCUCUCUGGUCAAGUUUGGUAUUUUCUACUGCAACCCCAUUUUAUUUUGCUCUGUUGCCCAUGAUUCUUUUUCCUGCUUAUAGUCCACCCUGCCAAACCCUUAAGUCCAGGAGAUUGGACCCAUUGGAGCAUUUUUGGUCCAUGCAAUGGUGCCCUUUGCUUUCUGUCCAGUAUUGGUUUUCUCAAAAACUUGCAUUAACAAGUUUCUGUUCUUGCCAAACUAAUCUUGCCACCCUCUUAUUCAUCCAAAGAGACUAUGAUUUGGAGUUUUUGGACACCCCAAGAGUUUCCUAGAUGCUCUUAGCAUUCUGUCAAACACCUUGUGUGCAUGGCCAAUUUUGGCUUGGUUUUUAGUUUGCAUUGUGGACUUGAUCCCCUGACCAAACCAACAUGUCCACUACUCUCCUUGCAAACUCUAACCUAGACCUGCUAACCCCCAGCCCCACCCAAGCCUCCUGGCAUGCCUUGGCAUUUUGUCGAACAUGCAGCGUGCAUGCUCUGGGUGUGCCCAGAGCGCAUGUUUUGCACGCGUGCGCACCGAGCCGCCGCGUCGUGCCCCUGGCCCUUGCUUGCCCGCAGGGCCGCACCCUGUUCCCGCUCGCUCACCAGUACCCUCCAGACCGCCCCUGGAGCCCCGUAGCACCACCGUCAGGUCGGCCAUGGCAGCUAGCAGACGUCCGCAGCAGGCCCCGGCCGUAGCAGCACCGCCCGAGCCACUCCAGCGCGCCAGCUGCCCUCUGGAACAGCUCGAGCUCAUCCGCGAGAUCGUUUGCUAGCGCACGUGGCUGCCACGUCGCCCUACAGCUACAGAAUGGCGGUUCACUGCUCCUAUCCUCUGCCGUCGCCGAUCUUAUCCCCGGUUGCUGCAGAACCGACCUAGUCGUGCUACAAAAGGAGCCCCGGGCCCUUCCGGACACUCAGGCAACCUCGUACCAUCCCCUAGUGCCCCCCACAGCCAGGAGUCGGCGGAGGGAGGCCGUCUUCCAUGUCUCCGGCCAGUUCGGCCGCCGCCGACCUCCAGUCCCGUUCGUCACAAGCUGAGCCCCCCCCGUCCAUCCAGUGCAACCAUCCUCUUCCCCUCGAUCUUGCGGAGCCGCCCAACCUCUCACCUUCACAGGGAGCCACCGUAGCCCAAACCCCCAAAUCCUGCCGAAGCCACCUCCGCCGCGGAGCUCGCCGCCGGCGACUCCCUUCGUCCCCGCCAGCCUUUCGACCACCGGGAGGACCGCCCUGGACUGGCGGAUCCAUCCCUGCCCUCGGAACCCAGUGGGGAGCCCUGCCUCGGCUCGGACAGAGGAGGAAGGAGGCGGGCGACUGGUCAAACCUGACCAGUGGGCCCAAGGGACCCACUGUCAGUGACCACGAGCCGAUCCACACUGGUGUAAGUGGAGGCGUAAAACCAGAGUACGUCUCCUACGUGUUUUUAUUCGAAACGUUUUUUUUCUUUUUCUGUUUUAUUUAAAAACAGAACUUUGACUAAACUUUGACUAGACAUAUCUUUUAAAAUAAAACUCCAAAUGAGUUGAUUCUUUUUCCUACCUCUCUCAAAUUUCAUCUAGUUUGUUUUAAGAUUUAUUUCAAAAAUAAUUAGGAAAACUUUUUGUACUGUUUUUAAAGUUUGUGUUAAUUUGAAUAUUUUCAAAAAUAGGAUUUUGAAGAAGAAGGCAACUUUCAAAAAGUGCACCCCCACUUGCAUACUCUUGAAGGCAAGCAUUCUGAACCCUGGCAUAAAAUUUUUGUUAGUUGUUUGACACGGUUACAACACCACCUUGACAUGGAGCAUUCGUUAUUUUAUGUGAUGAUUCGAUCAUACGCAUGAGUGCAUAAUGAAGAUUCUUUGCUGUUGGAAAUGGAUAUGCUUGUGAUAGUAACCAUCCUCGUAUGCCUUUCGUGCCUACCGAGAGGAAGCCGGGAAAGUCUCUGUCUUGGGUAGACAGGAGCUUGUCUCUAGUUCCUCGUUGAGGCGGUUGUGUCCGGUAUGGCAUGAUGAGGUAUGAUGAGUGGUGAUUCUGUCUGUUGGUUGAAAUAUAUUUGUUGUGCUAAUCAUGCAGGGAAUACUUAAACCUCCUGAGUUGACCAUAGAUCGAGUCUUGUUCCAGUAACCCACAUACUUGUUUCGUACUACCACUUGUCCCUUCCGCAGGUUGGGUACAGUUCAGUAAGUUGCCAACCCUUUCUUGGCACACACCAUACAGAGAGGCCAUGGUGGAAGAUACCGGCUGCAUCCGGUAGGCAUGCCACCUGGUCCGGGGGCAUGGGUGUUUCCGGUUGGGACCGAGAGGGGGCACCCCUUAGUAGCGUGCGGUGUAAAUUUGAUCCCAUGCUAAUCGAGGUUGUAGCCUCCUCACUUAGAGUUUUGCUUGACAGGUGUCGUGGGUGAUUCCAAACACCAGUAAGUUAAGCUGGUGUGUGCGGGUCAGGUGUGUUUUCAAUUAAAAGACCGUAAAUGGAAUUAGUCCCGAUGGACUAAAGGAAUUCGUUACUCGUGGGUAAAGAGUACACCCUCUGCAGAGGUUAUAUCUAUUCGAAUAGCUGUGUCCAUGGUUAAGGACUACAGUCUGGGAUGGGUCAAGUGUCGGUCUUAGUGUCGGUCUUCGGAGGAGAAACUGCUAAACCAGAACAUGGCUCAUGACUUGUGACUUAUGAUGAUUAUGAUUAUUAUUAUUAUGAACUAACCCUUUAGAUUAUUUGAAUUAUUGAGUAUCCCUGGGACGGUUCUUCCUCCUGGAUAUUCACUGUGACUAUCCUCUUAUAAGCCAUUUAUGUGGUGUCGCUGAGACGCCCGACUGUGGCAUGCUUGUUAUUUAUUUACUUUAUAAGCCCUUUAUGUGGUGUCGCACAGACGCCCGACUAUGGCAUGUUUGUUACUUGUUUCACUUAUAAGCCCUUUAUGUGGUGUCGCUCAGACGCCCGACUGAGGCAAGCUUUAGAUUAUUAUCCUUUUGAGGCGUCACUUCAGACAACCGAUCGGUGCAUUCUAUUUCUACUCCAGUAUUUCCUAUUCAUGUUGUAUAUCAAUAACUUGCUUACAUGCAUCAUGGAUUUGAUUUUGUGACUGACGUUGCGAUCAUAGAAUAAUUUGGAGCAUGAUUAUCAUUUGUUAUAUCAUACCCGUGUUCAUAAUGUCUGCGAGUACAUUCAAAGUACUCACUAGCUUGUCCCUGCCUAUUGUCUUGGCCAGAUUUCUUGCUUGGAGAGGAGCGUUGUGAUGACAGCCCCGGAACCUAAGCAACGGUGAUAGCAGCCUCGCGAAGAUCUGAGUUAUCCAGGUCAGCUGUUCCUAUGGGAAAUGGAGUCCCAUAGACGCUGAUGAACCGCAAACCGCUUCCGCCAUUAACCACUAGAAACCCCGUGUUGUACUCAUAGGCCAGAAUGAUCUUGUACAACAUAUUAUGUAUUUUGCUUGGAGUUUCUGUAUCAAGCUGGUGUCUCAUCAGCUAACAGUAAUCCUAGGGCUGGUGAGCACAAGGGCCAUUUUCUGAGAAAUAUAUAUAUCCUGAAAAUCCGGUCCUGACAACCUUGGUAUCAGAGCUAGGCUGACCAUUGGCUAAUCCUAUCUUAGCCAGGUCAAAAAACCUAGGUUAACCAACCCACCAGACCUUAACCUAACCCCAGCCAAGCUUCUCAUGUAAGAUAGCCACACAGUGACCCGACACCUUUUGGCAGUCGGUGCCUAACCUAUCAGCCUAGUCUGUCGAUCACGCGUCAGUGACCGACACCUAAAUUGUCUCAUUCGCAAGCGUGCGAAGGAAGGCUCCGUCCCCUUUUUCUAUAAAAAGGGCAGGCUAGCCUCAACCCAGCACAGCACAACCUCUUCCCCAAACCGAUCUAUAAUGCCUGGCCCUAUUGUGCACAAUGAGACCAUAACAACCAACCUUGGAGGUUUUGUGACCGUGCUAGCAAACCUCACCCGCCGUGCCUUUGCAUUAGAAGAGCCCCCAGAAUAUGUUGUGUACCAAGGACCCAUGAGCGGUGAGAGCCGUCAAUUCUGGGACACUGUGCACGUCCAUGGUAGGGGUCUAUCGCCAGAACACCCCUACAGGUUCACCAGAAGAACAAGUUCCUUUGAGCCACAAGCCAUCCAACUAGCUGCCCGAGAGGCUAUAGUUCAACUCCGGCACUUGUCGCCCAGAGUUAACUGUCGCUCGUUCUACUACUACCCCAGCCGUGAUGGGUAUGGUAGGCCACCCCAAGUUGCCAAUGGAGAUCACGAGAUGGAUCCUGCAUUGUUGCAUCUGGUGCGCUAUGUAAGUGCACUAGAGGAACUGUUCGAUCAAAUCACCCUUGAUCUAAUCGCAGCUCAUGGAGAACUGAUCCGCCGAGCCCCGGCAAGAAGAGAAGGUGAGCCCGACGCCAACAACCCAGUCGUGCUAUUCGGACAACCGAUCGAGUCCUUGAGGUCUACCCCAACCAUCGACCAAAAUACUUUGGUGUCCCCAAAAGUGCUUCAUCGCCUUUUGGGAACACGCGCCAACGGGAUUGUGGCCAAAAACCCCCACGAUGGUCAUCAUCGCUACACCGACCUGGUAGUUCCUCAACCCCCUCCAGCUAACCCCGAUGGUGAAACCCGUGGAGAAGCCUCGACGUCCACAAGGCAUGCCCACCUAGAUAUUAACGAGGUAGAUUAAAGUCACUCGAGUAGUACCGAGUCUUAGUAUGUCCACGCCCUGUAAUAGUGUGACCUUGUAUCACUAUAAAUAAAUGCAUCUUGAUGGUGCCCCCUAUUUUAAAUAGUAGCCAUGCAUAAGUAUGUUGGUGUACGAUUGCAUUUUUAAUCCCGGGCGCAGCUACCAAAAACCAACCCCGACGACACAAAGUUUGUGCUAUGAGUAAACUAUUUGGUUCCAGCUAAUAGGAGUAAUAUUUUCAAAACAACCCUUAGCAAAUCUCGAGGACGAGAUUUUUCUUAAGGGGGGUAGUGUUGUAACACCCCAAAAAUUUAACCAUGAUUUGUUUAUUAAAAUUUUGCCAGGAAAUUAAAUUUUUAUUUUCUGGAUUUAUCUUUUGAUUUCAGAACCUCUCUUUUCUUUGAUAUUGUGGAGUUUUUACCCCAAGUGAAAUUUUUUCCAAAAAUAUUAUUGGACUUGUAUACCCUCUCUAGAAACAUUUCUUUCAUCAGUGGAAUUAUUUAUAUGAUUAUUUUCCCUGAGCUUUAUAUCUUUUAAAAAUGAUUUUUCACAAGCUUUAGAGCCUCUUUUGCACUACAACCCUUUGAUAAAUUUAUUUAAAAAUCCCACCAAAAUCUGGGGAUGACAUGUGAUGUUCCUAGAUCACUUUUAUGCAAAAAUAUCUUUUAGUCAUUUGGAGAUUUUGAGCUCUACCCCAAGUUUUCAAAUCUGGUCCAGUUUGCACUUCUGCACUACAACCUAUUUAUAUUCCUUUAAAACUUCCACCAAAAUUAGGGGAGGUCAGUAGGAGUAUAUUAUUCAACUUUUUGCAAAAACCCACUGGUGUUCUUUGAAAAAUUUGAGCAAAACAUCCUCUUUUGCUCUCUGGUCAAGUUUGGUAUUUUCUACUUCAACCCCAUUUUAGUUUGCUCUGUUGCCCAUGAUUCUUUUUCCUGCUUAUAGUCCACCCUACCAAACCCUUAAGUCCAGGAGAUUGGACCCAUUGGAGCAUUUUUGGUCCAUGCAAUCACUACUAGGGAAAAGGCUAGCAGCAACGCGGGUUUUAGGUGUAUCCGUAGCGUGGGGAGUGGCGCUACUAAUAAGGCGCUACAGCUAACACAUAGCAGUAGCGCGUGCUCACCGGCGCUACUGCUACACAAGUGUAGCAGCAGCGCGGUUAGUGGAACCUUGCUACUGCUAGUAGCUCUAGCGCGCUUAGCCUAGACGCGCUACUGCUAUCGCGGCGCUGCUGCUAACUUUUAUACACUCGCUACUGCUAAUUUAAGUAGUUUUUUGUUUUUUUGGCAUAUUUGUUUUGUAUUUGAACAGGCUUUAUAGAAGAAUCUUUAGCACAUAGAAAUGUCAUCAUGAUACACAUACAAAUGCCUGCGAGACCACAAAUGUAAUCAUAGCAUAUACAUACAAAUAGUCUCAUCAUAAUCAUCAUCCAACACAAAGUGGUGUCUUGUCAUCAUCUCAAAAAUAGCGAUACAUGCAAGUCUCGAAUACUUGCAACUACAACAACGUCAUCCAUCUAAACAAAGGUAUACGCAAGAAGAGCUAUCACUAUGAGUGAGAGCGGAACUAUACAGUACAUGAGGUGGCGGUUACGAGUCCUCUCUCGCGCUAGCGUGAACCUCAAGUAACUAGCUUCUCCUUCUUGUCUGCUUUUGAAGCCUCUAUGGCUGGCGCCCGUGAACCCAUUCAUUUGCGCCUAACACUCAUACCACUCGUUGUACACCCCCGGAACCUUCCCUUUGUACACGACAUAGCAAUUCCAUCUCGCCAUCAAGAAACUAGGUACCUGUUAGAGAUGCAUGUUCAUGAAGAGGAUGCACAAUCAUAUAUAUGCAACAAAAUAUACUAGAGCAACACCGAAAAAGAAAGGGUUAGCAACUAGAUGCAACAUACAGUACGCAAAUUAACUAACUAGAGGUACGCAGGUCAUCGUACGCAAACUAACAAAGUAGCGUUGCGCAAGUUCGACAGGGACCAUGGACAUCACAAAGUUUCAUCACUACAAAAAGUAUACAAGUUCAACCGACACAUAUCAUCAUCAUCGGCAUCAUAAAUCACUAGAAGUUCCAUCCUUCCAUAUCAUCGAGGAUGAACCCUAGCUUCUUGAACGGCGUGAGGUCUAGACGUUGCAUGCCUAUGCAAGUUUGGACGUCAGCUCGCGAUAUAGGGCCGUGGUGGAAUAUCCCCUUCUCAUCGACGACUUCUUUCAUGAUGAUCGUCGCAAUGUCGCUUUGGAUGCGAAAGAAGUCAUAUCUAAGUUUAUAAUCUGCUUCUCCAUGAGAUUCUAGCCACUUGUGGAUAUGAUCAUCAUUUUUGCUUCUCAUGUGAAGCUUUUGGUGAUCCGUGUUGAACUGAAUCAUGAGAUGGACGAUGUAGAAUCCAUCCUUCUUGCUUGGUUUUGGGACAUGGAUGCAGGAGAAGUUAGUUUUAUGUGUGAAACCCAUCUUCUUGUUCCUUUGUUUCCUGAUCUGCACGUGGCCACCUCUAAAGCUGAAGCCUUGGAGAGCAGCAUCUACAAUAUUCAUUAUGUGGGUGUAGUCUUUUUUCUCGUAGUCUCUUAAAGGGUCAAAAUACACGGCGUGGGAGACUUGCGGGUAAAGAACGAUAAGGACGAUGCGCCCGUUGCUGCGGGUAAAAGACACCUCAAAUUAUUCCCCAUAUGAGAGAGAAGGAAUGAUUGAAAUGUACAAAAGGGUUAUCCGGAACUGACUUACUUUGGAUGAUAAGGCACGAGGACAAUUUCCCGGUCCUUAUUCUGUACAAUGAAGUUUUGGAGGUACUCCCUAGCAGUUUCACGCUCAAAGUCGCCGAGACUUAAGAAAGACUCGUGCAUGUAGUACGGAUCCGCCACACAGAUUUGCGAGACUUCUUCACUCUUCAUGACGAAGCUCAUAUGUAGCGCAAAAAGGCGGACGAUUGUAAAAUCGAGUCGCCUUGUUAGAAACAUCUCAAAGAUAUGGUCAAACCGCAGGAAGAACACCUCCGCGGGUCGUGUGUCGACAUAGCACUUCCCCUCAGGCACACGAGCCGCGUAUGUCGGAUAUCCUGGAUCCUUUGAGUCUAGUAGGCUUUUCUCAGUCGACAGCACAUGGUCGUGCAGUCUCCUGAGAUCCCCUGAUAGUGCCUCCAGCGGUUUCGGCGGUAGCAUCGGCUCGCCCGUGAGAUGGAACAUGACCACACCUUUCACGGGUACACGCUCUUCAGAAUGCAUCGUCUGGCUGCUAUGUGCUCUGGCUUGUUUGGAGGCAGUUAUCUUCCCCGAUCUCUUCCUCUCCUUUUUCUUGGGCACACCUUCCAGACCCUUCCUUAACCCCUGCCCCAGUGUUCCCAGGCUAAGUACUGUAUGACCCUCGCGCCCGGCUAGUUGAGCCUGUGUUGAGGCGGCAUCUUCAGGCGUGUCCUGUGAGGAUUUCAUGAAGAGAGACUUUUUGCAAUCCCUGCUAUGACCCUGCCCGGGCAUAUGUGCCAUAUCCUCAUUAGCAAGCUGAUAGCCCGAUUCGUCAUAUGGUUGACUCAUCAUAUCUAUGUCACAGUCAUACGCGUUUGUAUUGAGGAAAUCCAUAGGGUCGACCUCUGUCUCAUCAUCCAUUCUCUGUUCUACAGGAGGAACUACAUCGGCCAGUACUAUUGCACCCCCUUCAUCAUGUCAUCCGCCGCUCUCACCCGGCACUACAGGAGCUGGUAUUGCGUAGGCUGGGUGGUGGUCUCCGCACAUGCUUGUUGAUGUGUGGUUAUUGGUGUGCUCUCGGCCGGCUCUAGACGAAUAAGAUUCUUCGGCCAUAGCAGCACCCAACCCUAGCAGCUUCCAAUCCGCGGCGGGGUCUCGUCGUCUACUCCCACAUGCUGUACUGGAGGAGGCAAAUCCCCGUGCCCCGAUUUCACACUGGUCAAGCUAACCCUGAAGUGCCCAGCGGGGAUCGGCUGGUUGUGGAACGUGGGUUGCGAGGGGUCCAUUAUCAUCCCCUUUCCCACGUCCACCUUCUGGCCUUUGAUCAAGUAGAGUAUGGUGCACGGGGUUUCUUUCGCCUGCAAACACAUAUGUCUGUGGCGUAAAACAACCGAAAGGCAACAAAAAUGGAAUAUUAUAUAUAUAUAUAUAUAUAUAUAUAUAUUGGUGCGACAUGUAAUUACCGUGACGGCGUCGAGCUCAGCCAAAGACGAAGGCCCACCUAGCGCGCCUGAGACUGAGGACGGGCUGCUAUGAGCGGGAGCGGCUGCGAGAGGAGGCCCGGUUGCAUGAGCAAGUGAUGGUGCGAUGGUGUUGUUGUUCAUGGAGUUGCUCCCGACAAAACUGGGCAAUGGGAAAUCAUGUACCGUCUUGUCUGGAUUUUCCUUCGUCCAGUUGAUGAUAAUUGGAACCAAGUUAGUAGCAAAAUCAUUUCUGUAGGCAGUUACAGCUGCAUUGACUGCCUGUUGUAGCAACUCAUAUUUGUCCUCGGCUGCUUUUUUCGCAUCCUUAGCUGCUUUUUUCUUGACCGCAAGCUUCACCUUUGCGUUGAUGUCCGCCUGACUAAACUUCUUUUUCUGCUUCUUGGCCUCCGGGCCCUCAUUGUAAAACACCUUCCACGUGGCGCCGUCUCCAGCACCGUGCACACGACCAUAUUGCGGCCGCUGGCCCAAAGGGAGUCCCUUAAGUUCGUUCAAGGCCCGGUUGAGAGGGGUGUCCCACUUGGGCCUCAUCGGAGAAGUAGGGCUUUCGGCUGCAAGUUGGUUUUGCUUCUCUAGUAGUCUAAUCAAUUCCCUCGUGAUCUUGUUCGUGUAAAAAACAUUUUUCUCCUUGUCCCACUUGUAGCGGGCCCUGAUGAAGUCACGGUCCAAGGGGUUGGUGAACUUCACGAAGGGGUCUGGGAGACCCGCGGCUUCACGUUCCGCGUCCUCCUUAUCCCAUAUGGGCCUUUUACCGAGGUAGCCACGGCUUUCGAGGCGAUGCUUCCCCGUGUUCCUUUGCUGAAGGCUCUUGAAUUUCGCAGCCUUAGCCUUGGCUGCCUCGGUAGCGCAAGUGUCCUUGAACUUUUCGAACUCCUCUUCCGUAAGUGUCAGAUUUUCCUCCAGAAUCUUGGACAGGGGUUCAUCAGCCUCAAUAGCUCAUUUCACCCUCCCUUUCCAGGAGGCCAAAUCAUUGCUGAACAUGCCCAUGGCGUGAUUGUUAAUAUUUUUCAUCUUCGGAUCAUCCCACGGUUGUUCUAUGUUAUCAUCCAGGUCGGGGAACUUGAAUCUCUUGUGCAACUUCGUUAGGAGCAACUACGUCAAAUGUUCUUUACUCCUUAAGUCAUCGUCGUUGAUGCUCGCACAUUCCCGUAGGAUGCAUCCUACUUGGUUCCCAUAGCACUUGCGAGGUUCUUCCGGCUCUAACGGCCCAAACUUGCCAGGUGCCAUCUUUGUGAUCACAAGUCGUCCAAUCCCUAGUUUGUUUGGUUUUUGUAUCCUCUGCUUCUUAUGCUUCCUCUUUUUGGUAGCGGCAUCGGGGCCGGUACCUUCCCCGCCGGUAUCUUCCCUGCCGGUACCUUCCCCACCGGUCUCGACGCCGCCAUCGGUGCCGGCACCGUCGGUGUCGAUGUCGGCAUCAGUACCAUCAUCGAGGCCGACCUGCAAACCUUGCUUAGCAGUCAAAUAGUCGAGGUACUCUUGUUCACCCUCAUAAUCCAUCUCGUCUGCAUCUUGGUCAGAAGGCCCAGUUUCUUCGUUGUUCGACAUGUUUCGUAUGAUUAAGUGUCCUCAUUUAUUUCUAAAAGUAUGAAUAAAUGAGAAAUGACAUAAAAAGAAAUAUAUGUGCCAGCACUCGACAUGCCAACUAUGUAGCACAAAUCAUGCCUUUAUUUUCGGGAAAUUUCGGCAUGACCUUUGCUAAAAAAAUGGACAUACCGAGCGCCUGAAAUUCACCGGAACGGAAAUGAAUCAACAUUCCAGCGUAACAUAGGCCACUCAGAUCAUUCCAGACAUGACAUGUCCAAAACAUGACAUAUCCACAUAUCACAUGUCCAAUUCAAAUUUGCAUAUAAAUUCAGUUAAUUUUGAAACCUAGCUAAAUUCAUAACUAAAUAGAUAACCUAAUUAACAUACUGCCCUAACUAAAACCUAAGUAAAUUAACCGAAGAACCCUAGCAGAGAGAUAGAGGGGGGGUUUACAGAGGGUGCAGGGGCGAGGAGGCAAGCCCGACGACGGCCGAGGUUGGGAGGGGAGGAAGCAGAGGAGGGAGGUGAGGGCCGACGAGUCGGGGGCGAGCGUGCCGGGGUCGGGGGCGAGAGCCUGGGUCGGGGGCGAGCGCNNNNNNNNNNNNNNNNNNNNNNNNNNNNNNNNNNNNNNNNNNNNNNNNNNNNNNNNNNNNNNNNNNNNNNNNNNNNNNNNNNNNNNNNNNNNNNNNNNNNNNNNNNNNNNNNNNNNNNNNNNNNNNNNNNNNNNNNNNNNNNNNNNNNNNNNNNNNNNNNNNNNNNNNNNNNNNNNNNNNNNNNNNNNNNNNNNNNNNNNNNNNNNNNNNNNNNNNNNNNNNNNNNNNNNNNNNNNNNNNNNNNNNNNNNNNNNNNNNNNNNNNNNNNNNNNNNNNNNNNNNNNNNNNNNNNNNNNNNNNNNNNNNNNNNNNNNNNNNNNNNNNNNNNNNNNNNNNNNNNNNNNNNNNNNNNNNNNNNNNNNNNNNNNNNNNNNNNNNNNNNNNNNNNNNNNNNNNNNNNNNNNNNNNNNNNNNNNNNNNNNNNNNNNNNNNNNNNNNNNNNNNNNNNNNNNNNNNNNNNNNNNNNNNNNNNNNNNNNNNNNNNNNNNNNNNNNNNNNNNNNNNNNNNNNNNNNNNNNNNNNNNNNNNNNNNNNNNNNNNNNNNNNNNNNNNNNNNNNNNNNCAGUUUUCCUUUUUCUUUUCCUUUAUUUUCUCCCACUUUUAUUUCCUGAGAGCAGUGAACGAAGGGAGGGCGAUAUAUAUUGCAUCAUUUGACGGUUAAAUAUGUAUGCAAAAUAGGAACAUAUAUAUUACAUCAUUGGACCCAUGCAUAAUAAUGGCUAAGUGUGUAUACAAAAUAGGAACAUAUAUAUAUAUAUAUAUAUAUAUAUAUAUAUAUAUAUAUAUAUAUUACAUCAUUUGACCGAUAACAUACGGUUCCUCAGCGCUGACGUUUUCGUUUUUGAGUCAGCUUCUUUCCCUUCUUGUUCGUCGAAGAAUAAUUGAGCCCCUCAUUGUGACUUUGCCUUUUCCAUGGAGUACGAUUUUUCUUAGGUAAUGUAGUAUUGAUUCUUCUUUUGACGUAUACUUUAUCAUCAUCGUCAUCUUCCCUCAUUGGGUUGUCGUACUGAUCAUAGUCUUCCUCGCUGGCGACUCCAUCCAUUCCAAUGAUGUUCCUUUUGCCUCUCCUCACGACAACACGACUGGGAUUGCAUGGGUCGGUUAUGAAGAAGCAUUGUGUCACGUGCUUAGCGUGUACCCAUGGCUCGUUUUUUGCGAUAGUGUUCACGGUAGUGCUCUUGGCGUCGGGUAUACUCAUGGUAGUGAAAAUCCGGUUUUCUCUUUCGACAUUCUUUGCCCAUCUGACACGGAACAUCGUCGUGUUGUGCAGUCCAUAGUAGUCAAGCUCCCAGAUCUCCUCGACCCUUCCAUAAAAUCGUUUAGUUGCGCCGUUGUCGCUGCCGGUCAUGCAUUCCAUCGUCACCCCUGAGUUUUGAUCAUCACUAUCCAUAUCUUUGGCCUCCGUGUAGAACGUGUAUCCGUUGAUAUCAUAUGCGUGAUAGGUUACGAGGUUGGGCGACGGGCCAUGUGCUAAGGCGUAUAUGAGCAAUCCGUCCUUAGAGCCCUCCUCCGGGGGAUUAGCAAUAAUAUGCUCUUUGAACCAAUGCAGGAAAGUGGAGUUGUGCUCUCUAGUAACUUCGGCGUCCGUCCUGCAUACCCCCAGGUCACAAUACUUCUUUGCGAUAAUUUCUUUGUGCAGUGCCACGAAAGGAUCUACCUCGUCUAGGUGUUGUAGCACUACCAACUUUGCUCUAUCAAAGUCGCUGCGUCGAUCUAAGUAUGCCACGUGCAGUUCCCUGCAACUGUUGCAGUGACCAUCUCCUUCGAGCCUCCCAUCGUGCUUGUUAACGGGCAAACCAACACUAACACCAGGCGGCUGGUCUGCGCCAUAUAGAAAAUUCUCACAGAAAGAGAUGCACUCUUGUGCCAAAUAGCCCUGGAUGAUGCUUCCAUCCAGACGGGACAUGUUACAAACAAAUCCUUUGAUGAUCCCAUUCAUCCUCUCAAACGACAUCAUGUUGUGCAGGAAUGACGGCCCCAGGUCUAUUAUGUCAUCCACAAUAUGGACACACAGAUGCACCAUCACGUCAAAGAACGCGGGCGGGAAGUACAUCUCAAGCUCAUUCAGUAUCACAACGAUCUCUUCCUGUAGCCUUCGGAGCUGCUUCACACUGAUCGACUUUCGAGAGAUGACGUCGAAAAAGUUGCAGAGACCAAUAAGCGUGUCACGGACGUGCUUGUCCAUUAUCCCUCUAAGGGCAACAGGUAGUAUCUUUGUCAUCAUCACAUGACAGUCAUGAGAGGUCAUCCCGCUGAACCUUUUCUUGUCCGUGUCUAGAUAUCUGCUUAUCUUGCAACAGUAACCGGAACUAACUUUGACUCCGGUAAGGCACUUAAAGAAUUGAUUGAUCUCAGCCUGACUUAAGGUGAAGCAAUAAGGGGGGCAAUAACCUUCUUUCUUUAUUUUCUUGCCCUUCUUCUCCCGUGCCUCUGUCUCCGUCUCUGUCUCAUCUGACAUUUUACGGGGCGGCAUGUGCAGAUCUUCCUUGAUUUCCAAAUCUUGCAAGUCUUUUCUUGCCUUCGGCCCAUCCUUGGUCUUAUCCGGCAUGUUCAUCAGUGUCGCGAGCAAGCUCUCAAGGACAUUCUUACAGAUAUGCAUUUGAUCAAGGCAAUGAGGUGUAUCGAGUUUGUGCCAGUACUCCAAGUCCCAGAACACAGACCUCGUCUUCCAUACCUUCAGCAGCGGCUCCGGCGCCUUUCUCAUUGUCUUUCUUGGCGCGGGGCACUCCUUCCAGUUUUUCAACAGCUCAUCAAUUUUGGCACCGCUCCGCUUACGUGGAGGUCCUCGAUGCUCAGCGUGACCAUUGAAUAGAUCUCCACGGUUUCUCCACGGGUCAUCCUGUUCAAGCCAUGUUCGAUGCCCCAUGUACACGAUUUUCCCAGACCCGCCAUCUUUCCUUGACGUUAGCUGCUGAGACAUCAUAUCAUCCAUGCACUGUGUGCAUCCGCAAUAUCCAUGGCACACCUGGCUUGCCACAUAUCCGUAACCGAGAUAGUCCUGCACUGUCGUGAUCAGCGCGGCUCUCAUGUUGAAAUACUCGCCUUUGCUGGCGUCCCAUGUCUUGGCCGGUGUUUUCCAUAACGUGUCUAACUCCUCUUGAAGUAGCCCCAGAUACAAAUUAAUAUUAUUUCCUGGUUGUUUCAGCCCUUGAAUAAGCAUGCUCAUGUGAAUGUACUUCGAUUUUAUGCACAACCAGGGGGGAGGUUGUACAUCCAUACAAACACGGGCCAUGUGCUAUGGUUGGUGUUCUGGUUGCCAAAUGGAUUCAUGCCAUCGGUACACGUGCCAAGCACGAUGUUCCUUGCAUCACAUUCAAAACACCGAUAGAAGAUGUUCAACGCUCUCCACUGGCUUCCAUCCUUAACGUAUCUCAGCUUCGGAUCAUCUCCAUCGCCGGGCUUCUUCCUCUCCGCGUGCCAGCGCAUUAGCUUUGCUUCCUUGGGAUCUACAAAAUACCUCUGGAGACGGGGAGUGAUCGGUAAGUAUCAUACAACUUUCUGGGGACAUUUCUUCCCGACCUUCCUGUAUCAAGAAGCAUUGCACACCGGACAGCUUGUUUUUUCUGCGUGCUCCUUCCGAUAAAUUAUGCAAUCGUUGAUGCAUGCAUGGUAUCUAACGUGUGGCAGAUCAAGAGGGCACACGAUCUUCUUGGCCUCAUCAACACUAGUAGGACAUAGAUUACCCAUGGGAAGAACAACCUUUAGGUACUUGAGAUGCUCAUCGAGGCUAGUGUGCGUCCAUUUGUUUUUAGCCUUCGUCUUCAGGAGUUAGAGCAUGAAACUCAAGCAGGUCACCUCAGGAUUGCAACCAUCAUACAAUGGAGUGUUCGAGUCUACCACCAGUUGCUCCAGCUUAGCCUCCUCUCUAGAAGGAGCUCUCUCAGUACUCGUCUCCUUGCGAAGCAAUGCUUGAACAUGAGGGUCCCGCAUGAUUGAACUUAGUACCGACGAACUCUGCUGCGUGGAGUCCAUGUCAUUCUCUCCGCCGCCAUGUCCGGCCCCUUCUCCUCCGCCAUGUCCGGCCCCUUCUCCGCCGCCAUGUCUGGCCUCUUCCCUGCCGCCAUUAUCGACCAUCUCUUCGUCUUGCCCCGUGUCAUCAUUGCCUGCCCCGUCGGCAUCCUCAACAUCGUCAUCCUCAUCUUCAGUUAUCCACCGAGUAUAGCCAUCCAUGAAACCAGUCAUGAGCAGGUGCGCUUCGACACGACCAUCGUCAUAGGGGUCAAGCCAAACUAUUCCUUUGCAUUUUCGACACAGACAUAAAACCUCUGUCAGGUUAUUUUCUUUCAUGUCCUGCACCGCCGACCGCAACCACCUGUCCACCAUCGUUCCACUGACCAUCAUGAACGUCUGCACGGUAAUAAUAAAACAAAUUGAUUAUAAAAAUGCGUGCAUGCAUCAAAGUCAUACAAAAAUUCGGCAUGACCUUCCCAAAAAAUAGGACAUAUAUGGAUCUAGAGUUUGCCCGGAAUUCGCCGAAACGGAAAUAAAUCGACAUUUCGGCAAAACAUAGGCAACUCAAAAGCACAAUUUGGCGUCAACUCAUGCCACACACACAAUUCCCACAAACAUAUCACACACACAUAAACAUAUUUCCAUUUUGCAAAAGCAUGAAAUUUUCAUCACCUCUAUCUCGAGAUCGAGCACACGGUGGAGAUGAUGUUGUAGGGAGAUCAAAAGUGCACAAAGCUCUUCUUGACAAAGAUAGAUCUAGUUAGGGGGCAAAUAGGUCACUUAACUAAAUCCUACAUCUACCUAGCUACCUAAUUUGGGAGGAGACAACUUCAACUAGUGGAGGGGAAGGAAAAAGAGAAAGGAGAUGCAUUAAUGGAGGUGGUGUAGUUAGGUAGGAGUAAUGAAGAGAGAGAAAGGUAGAUAGAAGAGAGAGAGUAAUGGGGGAGAAGUAUUGAGGAAGAAGAAGAGUGAGACUGGGAGCAUGUGGGAGGUAGGGGAAAGGGAAGAGAGGAGGGGGAGGGGGAGGGACGGGUGGGGAAAAGGUGGUGGGUUGGUGCGGAUUAGCAGUAGCACGGGAGUUAAAACGCGCUGCUGCUAAGGAAGUAGCAGCAGCGCGCUUUGGGCAACGUCGCUACUGCUAACCGGGACCAAAAAGUGUGCCAAUUUGAAAUUUAGCAGCAGCGACCUCAGAAAAAGCGUGCUACUACUACAUCCAUAGCAGUAGCGCGGCUCGCGGCACCGUGCUGCUACUAAAUGGAGUUUGGUGGACACUGUCGGUCGAUAUUUGUAGCAGCGCGGUUUACACCGAGCGCGCUACUGCUAAAAACUUGUAAGUAGCGUGUUUCCCGCACACGUGCUACUACUAAUUAGCAGCAGCGCUCCUUUUUGAGCCGCGCUGCUGCUAAGAUUCUGUGUAUAGGCUUUUCCCUAGUAGUGAAUGGUGCCCUUUACUUUCUGUCCAGUAUUGGUUUUCUCAAAAACUUGCAUUAACAAGUUUCUGUUCUUGCCAAACUAAUCUUGCCACCCUCUUAUUCAUCCAAAGAGACUAUGAUUUGGAGUUUUUGGACACCCCAAUAGUUGCCUAGAUGCCCUUAGCAUUCUGUCAAACACCUUGUGUGCAUGGCUAGUUUUGGCUUAGUUUUUAGUUUGCAUUGUGGACUUGAUCCCCUGACCAAACAAGCAUGUCCACUAAUCUCCUUGCAAACUCUAACCUAGACCUGCUAACCCCCAGCCCCACCCAAGUCUCCUGGCAUGCCUUGACAUUUUGCCGAACACGCAGCGUGCAUGCUCUAGGCACGCCCAGUGCGCACGUUUUGCACGAGCGCGCACCGAGCCGCCGCGUCGUGCCCCUAGCCCUUUCUUGCCCGCAGGGCCGCGCCCCAUUCUCGCUCGCUCACCAGUACCCUCCAGACCGACCCUGGAGCCCCGCAGCGCCGCCGUCAGGUCGGCCAUGGCGGCUAGCGGACGGCCGCAGUAGGCCCCGGCCGUGGCAGCACCGCCCGAGCCACUCCAGCGUGCCAGCUGCCCUCUGGAACAGCUCGAGCUCAUCCGCGAGCUCGUUUGCUAGCGCACAUCGCCGCCACGUCGCCCUGCAGCUAUAGAACGUCGGUUCGCGGUUCCUAUCCUCUGCCGUCGCCGAUCUUAUCCCCGGCCGCCGCGAAACUGACCUAGUCGCGCUAUAAAAGGAGCCCCGAGCCCUUCCGGACACUCAGGCAACCUCGUACCAUCCCCCUAGUGCCCCCCAUAGCCAGUAGUCAGCGGAGGGAGGCCGUCUUCCCCGUCUUCGGCGAGUUCGGCCGCCGCCGCCCUCCGGUCCCGUUCGUCGCAAGCUGAGCCCCCCCUGUCCAUCCAGUGCCACCAUCCUCUUCCCCUCGAUCUUGCGGAGCUGCCCAACCUCUCAGCUUCGACGGGGAGCCACCGUAGCCCAAACCCCCAAAUCCUCCCGAAGCCACCUCCGCUAAGGAGCUCGCCGCCGGCGACUCCCUUUGUCCCCGCCAGCCUUUCGACCACCGGGAGGACCGCCCUCGACUGGCGGAUCCAUCCCUGCCCUCGGAACCUAGUGGGGAGCCACCGUUCGCCGGUGUUGAUCGCCGGAGCCCCGCCUCGGCUCGGACAGAGGAGGAAGGAGGCGGCCGACUGGUCAAACCUGACCAGUGGGCCCAAGGGACCCACUGUCAGUGACCCCGAGCCGAUCCACACUGGCGUAAGAUGAGGCGUAAAACCAGAGUACGUCUCCUAUGUGUUUUUAUUUGAAACGUUUUUUUUCUUUUUCUGUUUAUUUGAAAACAGAACUUUGACUAAAGUUUGACUGGACAUAUCUUUUAAAAUAAAACACCAAAUGAGUUGAUUCUUUUUCCUACCUCUCUCAAAUUUCAUCAAGUUUAUUUUAAGAUUUAAUUCAAAAAUAAUUAGGAAAACUUUUUGUACUGUUUUUAAAGUUUGUGUUAAUUUGAAUAUUUUCAAAAAUAGGAUUUUGAAGAAGAAGGCAACUUUCAAAAAGUGCACCCCGACUUGCAUACUCUUGAAGGCAAGCAUUCUGAACCCUGGCAUAAAAUUUGUGUGUGUUGUUUGACACAGUUACAACACCACCUUGACAUGGAGCAUUCAUUAUUUUAUGUGAUGAUUCAAUCAUACGCAUGAGGGCAUAAUGAAGAUUCUUUGCUGUUGGAAAUGGAUAUGCUUGUGAUAGUAACCAUCCUCGUAUGCCUUUCGUGCCAACCGGGAGGAAGCCGGGAAAGUCUCUGUCUUGGGUAGACACGAGCUUGUCUCUAGUUCCUCGUCGAGACGGUUGUGUCCGGUAUGGCAUGAUGAGAUAUGAUGAGUGGUGAUUCUGUUUGUUGGUUGAAAUAUAUUUGUUGUGCUAAUCAUGCAGGGAAUACUUAAACCUCCUGAGUCGACCAUAGAUCGAGUCUUGUUCUAGUAACCCCCAUACUUGUUUUGUACUACCACUUGUCCCUAUCGCAGGUAGGGUACAGUUCGGUAAGUUUUCAACCCCUUUCUUGGCACACACCGUACAGAGAGGCCAUGGUGGAAGAUACCGGCUACAUCCAGUAGGCAUGCCACCUGGUCCGGGGGCAUGGGUGUUUCCGGUUGGGACAGAGAGGGGGCACCCCUUAGUAGCGUGCGGUAUAAAUUUGAUCCCAUGCUAAUCAAGGUUGUAACCUCCCCACUUAGAGUUUUGCUUGUCAGGUGUCGUGGGUGAUUCCAGACACCGGUAAGUUAAGCUGGUGUGUGCGGGUCAGGUGUGUUUUCAAUUAAAAGACCGUAAAUGGAAUUAGUCCCGAUGGACUAAAGGAAUCCGUUACUCGUGGGUAAAGAGUACACCCUCUGCAGAGGUUAUAUCUAUUCGAAUAGCCGUGUCCAUGGUUAAGGACUACAAUUUGGGAUGGGUCAAGUGUUGGUCUUAGUGUCGGUCUUCGGAGGAGAAACAGCUAAACCAGAACAUGGCUCAUGACUUGUGACUUAUGAUGAUUAUGAUUAUUAUUAUUAUGAACUAACCCUUUACAUUAUUUGAAUUAUUGAGUAUCCCUGGGACGGUUCUACCUCUUGGAUAUUCACUGUGACUAUCCUCUUAUAAGCCCUUUAUGUGGUGUCGCUGAGACGCCCGACUGUGGCAUGCUUGUUAUUUAUUUACUUUAUAAGCCCUUUAUGUGGUGUCGCACAGACGCCCGACUGUGACAUGUUUGUUACUUGUUUCACUUAUAAGCCCUUUAUGUGGUGUCGCUCAACCGCCCGACUGAGGCAAGCUUUAGAUUAUUAUCCUUUCGAGGCGUCACUUUAGACACCCGGUCAGUGCAUUCUAUUUCUACUCCAGUAUUGCCUAUUCAUGUUGUAUAUGAAUAACUUGCUUACAUGCAUCAUGGAUUUUAUUUUGUGACUGACGUUGCAAUCAUAGAAUAAUUCGGAGCAUGAUUAUCAUUUGUUAUAUUGUACCCGUGUUCAUAAUGUUUGCAGGUACAUUCAAAGUACCUGUUGCCGAUAACUUUGUUUCAAAAACAUGAUCAUAUCAUACAACAAUUUAUAUCACAUCAUGCCUUGACCAUAUCACAUCACAGCAAGCCCUGCAAAAAUAAGUUAGACGUCCUUUACUUUGUUGUUGCAAGUUUUACGUGGAUGCUACGGGCUUCUAGCAAGAACCGUUCUUACCUACGCAUCAAAACCACAACGAUUUUUCGUCAAGUGUGUUGUUUUAACCUUCAACAAGGACCGGCCGUAGUCAAACUUGAUUCAACUAAAGUCAGAGAAACAGACACCCGCCAGCCACCUUUGUGCAAAAGCACGUCGGUAGAACCAGUCUCAUGAAUGCAGUCAUGUAAUGUCGGUCCGGGCCGCUUCAUCCAACAAUACCGCCGAAUCAAAGUUAGAUGUUGGUGGUAAGUAGUAUGGCUAUUAUCGCCCACAACUCUUUGUGUUCUACUCGUGCAUAUAACAUCUACGCAUAAACCUGGCUCUGAUACCACUGUCGGGGAACGCGGCAAUUUCAAAAAAAUUCCUACGGUCACGCAAGAUCUAUCUAGGUGAUGCAUAGCAACAAGAGGGGAGAGUGUGUCCACGUACCCUCGUAAACCGAAAGCGGAAGCGUUAGUUAACACGGUUGAUGUAGUCGAACGUCUUCGCAAUCCAACCGAUCAAGUAUCGAACGUACGACAUCUCCGUGUUCAGCACACGUACAGCUCGAUGACGUCCCUCAUACUCUUGAUCCAAUUGAGGCCGAGGUAGAGUUUCGUCAGCACGACAGUGUGGCGAUGGUGAUGAUGAAGUUCCCAGCGCAGGGCUUUGCCUAAGCAUUACAACGAUAUGACUGAGGUGUGUAACUGUGGAGGGGGGCACCGCACACGGCUAAAAAAUCAACUUGUGUGUCUAUGGGGUGCCCCUGGCCACGUAUAUAAAGGAGGGGAGGGAAGAGGUGGCCGGCCCAAGGGAGGCACGCCUGGUGUGGGGAAUCCUACUAGGACUCCCCAGUCCAAGUAGGAUUCCCGUCCUCUUUCCUAUUCCUAGUAGGAGAAGGAGGGAAGGGGGAGGAGGAGAGAAGGAAGGAGGGGGGCACCACCCCCUCCCCUUGUCCGAUUUGGAUUUGGGAAAGGGGAGGGCACCACAUCUUGGCCUGCCCUCUCUCUUCUCCACUAAGGCCCAUGAUGCCCAAUAACUUCCCGGACGGGGUUCUGGUAACCCCCGGUACUCCGAAACUUAUCCGAAUCGACCCGAACCAUUCCGGUGUCCGAAUGUAGCCUUCCAAUAUAUGAAUCUUUAUGUCUCGACCAUUUCGAGACUCCUCUUCAUGUCUGUGAUCUCAUCCGAGACUCCGAACAAAAUUCGGUCAUCAAAACACAUAACUCUUAAUACAAAUCGUCAUCGAAUGUUAAGCGUGCGGACCCUACGGGUUCAAGAACUAUGUAGACAUGACCAAGAUGUUGGGGAACGUAGUAAUUUCAAAAAAAUUCCUACGCACAUGCAAGAUCAUGGUGAUGCAUAGCAACGAGAGGGGAGAGUGUGUCCACGUACCCUCGUAGACCGAAAGCGGAAGCGUUAGCACAACGCGGUUGAUGUAGUCGUACGUCUUCACGAUCCGACCGAUCAAGUACCGAACGCACGGCACCUCCGAGUUCAGCACACGUUCAGCUCGAUUACGUCCCUUGAACUAUGAUCUAGCCGAGUUUUCAGGGAGAGUUUCGUCAGCAUGGUGGUGUGGUGACGAUGAUGAUGUUCUACUGACGCAGGGCUUCUCCUAAGCACCGCUACGAUAUUAUCGAGGUGGAUUAUGGUGGAGGGGAGCACCGCACACGGCUAAGAGAUCCAAGGGAUCAAUUGUUGUAUCUCAAGGGGGUGCCUCCCUCCCCGUAUAUAAAGGAGUGGAGGAGGGGGAGGGAGCCGGCCACCCUUGGCGCGCCCCACGAGGAGUCCUACUCCCACCGGGAGUAGGACUCCCCCCCCUUCCAUGUCGAAGUAUGAGAGGAGAGGGAAUGAGAGAGAGGGGAAAGGAAAGGGGGGCGCCGCCCCCCUCCUUGUCCAAUUCGGACUUGGGGGGGAGGGGCGCGCGGCUGCCCCUUGGGUGUCUCUCCUCUUCCACCACUUGGGCCCAUAAGGCCCAAUAACCUCCGGGGGGGUUCCGGUAACCCCCCGGUACUCCGGUAUAUAUCCGAUAACACCCGGAACCAUUCCGGUGUCCGAAUAUAGUCGUCCAAUAUAUCAAUCUUCAUGUCUCGACCAUUUUGAGACUCCUCGUCAUGUCCUUUAUCACAUCCGGGACUCCGAACUACCUUCGGUACAUCAAAAUACAUAAAAUCAUAAUAUAACCGUCAUCGAACUUUAAGCAUGUGGACCCUAUGGGUUCGAGAACUAUGUAGACAUGACCGAGACACGUUUCCGGUCAAUAACCAAUAGCGGAACCUGGAUGCUCAUAUUGGCUCCCACAUAUUCUAUGAAGAUCUUUAUAGGUCAAACCGCAUAACGACAUACGUUGUUCCCUUUGUCAUCGGUAUGUUACUUGCCUGAGAUUCGAUCGUCGGUAUCAUCAUACCUAGUUCAAUCUCAUUACAGGCAAGUCUCUUUACUCGUUCCGUAAUACAUCAUCCCGCAACUAGCUCAUUAGUCACAUUGCUUGCAAGGCUUAUAGUGAUGUGCAUUACCGAGAGGGCCCAGAGAUACCUCUCCGACAAUCGGAGUGACAAAUCCUAAUCUCGAAAUACGCCAACUCAACAAGUACCUUUGGAGACACCUGUAGAGCACCUUUAUAAUAACCCAGUUAUGUUGUGACGUUUGGUAGCACACAAAGUGUUCCUCCAGUAAACGGGAGUUGCAUAAUCUCAUAGUCAUUGGAACAUGAAUAAGUCAUGAAGAAAGCAAUAGCAGAAUACUAAACGAUCAAGUGCUAAGCUAACGGAAUGGGUCAAGUCAAUCACAUCAUUCUCUAAUGAUGUGAUCCCGUUAAUCAAAUGACAACUCAUGUCUAUGGCUAGGAAACUUAACCAUCUUUGAUUCAACGAGCUAGUCAAGUAAAGGCAUACUAGUGACACAUUGUUUGUCUAUGUAUUCACACAUGUAUCAAGUUUCCGGUUAAUACAAUUCUAGCAUGAAUAAUAAACAUUUAUCAUGAAAUAAGGAAAUAAAUAAUAAGUUUAUUAUUGCCUCUAGGGCAUAUUUCCUUCAGUCUCCCACUUGCACUAGAGUCAAUAAUGUAGUUCACAUCACCAUGUAAUUUAACACCAAUAUUCACAUAUGUAUGUGAUUAACACCCAUAGUUCACAUCAUCAAGUGACCAACACCCGAAGGGUUUACUAGAGUCAAUAAUCUAGUUCACAUCGCUAUGUGAUUAACACCCAAAGAGUACUAAGGUAUGAUCAUGUUUUGCUCGUGAGAGAAGUUUAGUCAAUGGGUCUGCCAAAUUCAGAUCAGUAUGUAUUUUGCAAAUUUCUAUGUGAACAAUGCUCUGCACGGAGCUACUCUAGCUAAUUGCUCCCACUUUCAAUAUGUAGCCAGAUUGAGACUUAGAGUCAUCUGGAUCAGUGUCAAAACUUGCAUCGACGUAACCCUUUACGAUGAACCUCUUGUCACCUCCAUAAUCGAGAAACAUAUCCUUAUACCACUAAGGAUAAUUUUGACCAAUGUCCUGUGAUCUACUCCUAGAUCACUAUUGUACUCCCUUGCCAAAACAGAUCAGGGUAUACAAUAGGUCUAUACCAUAGCAUGGCAUACUUUAUAGAACCUAUGACUUAGGCAUAGGGAAUGACUUUCAUUCUCUUUCUAUUUUCUGCCGUGGUCGGGAUUUGAGUCGUACUCAAUUUCACACCUUUGCAACACAGGCAAGAACCUUUUUCUUUGACUGUUCUAUUUUGAACUACUUCAAAAUCUUGUCAAGGUAUGUACUAAUUGAAAAUCUUAUCAAGCAUUUUGAUCUAUCUCUAUAGAUCUUGAUGCUCAAUGUGUAAGCAGCUUCACCGAGGUCUUUCUUUGAAAAACUUUUAUUCAAGUAUCCCUUUAUGCUAUCCAGAAUUUCUAUAUCAUCUCCAAUCAACAAUAUGUCAUCUACAUAUAGUUUUAGAAAUGCUACAGAGCUCCCACUCACUUGUAAAUACAGGCUUCUCCAAAAGUCUGUAUAAAUCCAUAUGCUUUGAUCAACUCAUCAAAGCAUAUAUUCCAACUCUGAGAUGCUUGCACUAGUCCAUAGAUGGAUCACUGGAGCGUGCACAUUUUGUUAGCACCUUUAGGAUUGACAAAACAUUUCUAGUUGCAUCAUAUACAACUCUUCUUUAAUACACCCAUUAAGGAAUGCAGUUUUGACAUCCAUUUGCUAGAUUUCAUAAAAUGUAGCAAUUGCUAACAUGAUUCGGACAGACUUAAGCAUCGAUACGAGUGAGAAAAUCUCAUCGUAUUCAACACCUUGAACUUUGUCGAAAAACCUUAUGCGACAAGUCGAGCUUUGUAGACAGUAACACUACUAUCAGUGUCUGUCUUCCUCUUGAAGAUCCAUUUAUUUUCUAUGGCUUGUCGAUCAUCGGGCAAGUCCACCGAAGUCCACACUUUGUUCUCAUACAUGGAUCCCAUCUCAGAUUUCAUGGUCUUUAAGCCAUUUCAUGGAAUUUGGGCUCAUCAUCGCUUCCUCAUAGUUCGUAGGUUCAUCAUGGUCUAGUAACAUGACUUCUAGAAUAGGAUUACCGUACCACUCUGGUGUGGAUCUUACUCUGGAAGACCUACAAGGUUCGGUAGUAACUUGAUCCAAAGUUUUAUGAUCAUCAUCAUUAACUUCCUCACUAAUUGGUGUAGGCAUCAUUGGAACUGGUCUCUGUGAUGAACUACUUUCCAAUUCGGGAGAAGGUACAAUUACCUUAUGAAGCUCUACUUUCCUCCCACUCACUUCUUUCAAGAGAAACUCCUUCUCUAGAAAGGAUCCAUUUUUAGCAACGAAUAUCUUGCCUUCGGAUCUGUGAUAGAAGGUGUACCCAACAGUUUCCUUUGGGUAUUCUAUGAAGACACACUUCUCUGAUUUGGGUUCGAGCUUAUCAGGUGAAAACUUUUUCACAUAAGCAUCGCAGCCCCAAACUUUUAGAAACAAAAACUUUGGUUUGUUGCCAAACCACAGUUCAUAAGGCGCCAUCUCAACGGAUUUUGAUGGUGCCCUAUUUAAAGUGAAUGCAGCUGUCUCUAAUGCAUAACCCCAAAACGAUAGUGGUAAAUCAGUAAGAUACAUCAUAGAUCGCACCAUAUCCAAUAAAGUGCGGUUACGACAUUCAGAUACACCAUUAUGUUGUGGUGUUCGGGUGGCGUGAGUUGCCAAACUAUUCCGCAUUGUUUCAAAUGAAGACCAAACUCAUAACUCAAAUAUUCUCCUCCACGAUCAGAUCGUAGAAACUUUAUUUUCUUGUUACGAUGAUUUUCCACUUCACUCUGAAAUUCUUUGAACUUUUCAAUCGUUCCAGACUUAUGUUUCAUAGGAUAGAUAUACCCAUAUCUACUCAAAUCAUCUGUGAAGGUCAGAAAAUAACGAUACCCGCCGCAAGUCUCAACACUCAUCGGAUCGCAUACAUCAGUAUGUAUUAUUUCCAAUAAGUCUGUUGCUUGCUCCAUUGUUCCGGAGAAUGGAGUCUUAGUCAUCUUGCCCAUAAGGCAUGGUUCGCAAGCAUCAAGUGAUACAAAAAUUCCAUCAGUAUGGAGUUUCUUCAUGCGCUUUACACCAAUAUGAUCUAAAAGUGCCACAAAUAAGUUGCACUAUCAUUAUUAACUUUGCAUCUUUUGACUUCAAUAUUAUGAAUAUGUGUAUUACUACGAUCGAGAUCCAACAAACUAUUUUCAUUGGGUGUAUGACCAUUGAAGGUUUUAUUCAUGUAAACAGAACAACAAUUAUUCUCUGACUUUAAAUGAAUAACCGUAUUGCAAUAAACAUGAUCAAAUCAUAUUCAUGCUCAACGCAAACGCCAAAUAACAUUUAUUUAGGUUUAACACUAAUCCCGAAAGUAUAGGGAGUGUGCAAUGAUGAUCAUAUAAAUCUUGGAACCACUUCCAACACACAUCGUCACUUCACCCUCAACUAGUCUUUGUUUAUUCUGUAACUCCUGUUUCAAGUUACUAAUUUUUAGCAACCGAACAAGUACCAAAUACCCAGGGGCUACUAUAAACACUAGUAAGGUACACAUCAAUAACCUGUAUAUCAAAUACCCUUGUUCACUUUGCCAUCCUUAUUAUCCACCAAAUAUUCAGGGCAUUUCUGCUUCUAGUGACCAUUUCCUUUGCAGUAGAAUCACUCAGUUUCAGGCUUUGGUCCAGCUUUGGGAUUCUUCGCGGGAGUGACAACUUUCUUGCCAUUCUACAUGAAGUUCCCUUUCUUUCCCUUUGCCCUUUUCUUGAAACUAGUGGUCUUGUUAAUCAUCAACACUUGAUGCUCUUUCUUGAUUUCUACCUUCGUCGGUUUCAACAUCACGAAGAGCUUGGGAAUCGUUUUCAUCAUCCCUUGCAUACUAUAGUUCAUCAUGAAGUUAUAGUAACUUGGUGAUGAUGACUAGAGAACUCUGUCAAUCACUAUCUUAUCUGGAAGAUUAACUCCCACUUGAUUCAAGCGAUUGUAGUACCCAGACAAUCUGAGCACAUGCUCACUAGUUGAGCAAUUCUCCUCCAUCUUUUAGCUAUAGAACUUGUUGGAGACUUCAUAUCUCUCAACUCGGGUAUUUGCUUGAAAUAUUAACUUCAACUCCUGGAACAUCUCAUAUUGUCCAUGACGUUCAAAACGUCUUUGAAGUCCUGAUUCUAAGUCGUUAAGCAUGGUGCACUAAACUAUCAAGUAGUCAUCAUAUUGAGCUAGCCAAACGUUCAUGACAUCUGCAUCUGCUCCUGCAAUAGGUCUGUCACCUAGCGGUGCAUCAUGGACAUAAUUCUUCUAUGCAGCAAUGAGGAUAAACCUCAGAUCACGGACCUAGUCCGCAUCAUUACUAUCAUCUUUCAACUUAGUUUUCUCUAGGAACACAUAUAAAACAUAGGGAAGCAACAACACGGGCUAUUGAUCUACAAUAUAAUUUGUAAAAUACUAUCAGGACUAAGUUCAUGAUAAUAUAAAGUUCAAUUAAUCAUAUUACUUAAGAACUCCCACUUAGAUAGACAUCCCUCUAAUCAUCUAAGUGAUCACGUGAUCCAAAUCAACUAAACCAUAACCGAUCAUCACGUGAAAUGGAGUAGUUUUCAAGGGUGAACAUCAGUAUGUUGAUCAUAUCUACUAUAUGAUUCACGCUCGACCUUUCGGUCUCAGUGUUCCGAGGCCAUAUCUGCAUAUGCUAGGCUCGUCAAGUUUAACCUGAGUAUUCUGCGUGUGCAGAACUGGCUUGCACCCGUUGUAGAUGGACGUAGAGCUUAUCACACCCGAUCAUCACGUGGUGUCUGGGCACGACGAACUUUGGCAAUGGUGCAUACUCAAGGAGAAUACUUUUAUCUUGAAAUUUAGUGAGAGAUCAUCUUAUAAUACUAUCGUCAAUCAAAGCAAGAUAAGAUGCAUAAAAGAUAAACAUCACAUGCAAUCAGUAUAAGUGAUAUGAUAUGGCCAUCAUCAUCGUGUGCUUGUGAUCUCCAUCUCCGAAGCACCGUCAUGAUCACCAUCGUCACCGGCGCGACACCUUGAUCUCCAUCAUAGCAUCGUUGUCAUCUCGCCAACUAUUGCUUCUAUGACUAUCGCUACCGCUUAGUGAUAAAGUAAAGCAAUUAUAGGGCGAUUGCAUUGCAUACAAUAAAUCGACAACCAUAUGGCUCCUGCCAGUUUCCGAUAACUCGGUUACAAAACAUGAUCAUCUCAUACAAUAAAAUACAGCAUCAUGCCUUAACCAUAUCACAUCACAACAUGCCCUGCAAAAACAAGUUAGACGUCCUCUACUUUGUUGUUGCAAGUUUUACGUGGCUGCUACGGGCUGAGCAAGAACCGUUCUUACCUAAGCAUCAAAACCACAAUGAUAGUUCGUCAAGUUAGUGUUGUUUUAACCUUCUCAAGGACCGGGCGUAGCCACACUCGGUUCAACUAAAGUUGGAGAAACUGACACCCGCUAGUCACCUGUGUGCAAAGCACGGCGGUAAAACCAGUCUCGCGUAAGCGUACGCGUAAUGUCGGUCCGGACCGCUUCAUCCAACAAUACCACCGAACCAAAGUAUGACAUGUUGGUAAGCAGUAUGACUUGUAUUGCCCACAACUCACUUGUGUUCUACUCGUGCAUAUAACAUCUACGCAUAAAACCUGGCUCGGAUGCCACUGUUGGGGAACGUAGUAAUUUCAAAAAAAAUCCUACGCACACGCAAGAUCAUGGUGAUACAUAGCAACGAGAGGGGAGAGUGUGUCCACGUACCCUCGUAGAUCGAAAGCGGAAGUGUUAGCACAACGCGGUUGAUGUAGUCGUACGUCUUCACGAUCCAACCGAUCAAGUACCGAAAGCACGGCACCUCCGAGUUCAGCACACGUUCAGCUCGAUGACGUCCCUCGAACUCUGAUCCAGCUGAGUUUUGAGGGAGAGUUCCCUCAGCACGACGGUGUGGUGACGAUGAUGAUGUUCUACCGAUGCAGGGCUUUGCCUAAGCACCACUACGAUAUUAUCGAGGUGGAUUAUGGUGGAGGGGGGCACGGCACAUGGCUAAGAGAUCCAAGGGAUCAAUUGUUGUAUCUCAAGGGGGUGCCUCCCUCCCCAUAUAUAAAGGAGUGGAGGAGGGGGAGGGGGCCGGCCACCCUUGGCGCGCCCCAUGAGGAGUCCUACUCCCACCGGGAGUAGGACUCCCCCCUUCCAUGUUGGAGUAGGAGAGGAGAGGGAAGGAGAGACAGGGGAAAGGAAAAGGGCGGCGCCCCCCCCCUCCUUGUCCAAUUCAGACUUGGGGGGAGGGGCGUGGCUGCCCCUUGGCCGCCUCUCCUCUUCCACCACUUGGGCCCAUAAGGCCCAAUAACCUCCGGGGGGGUUCCGGUAACCCCCCGGUACUUCGGUAUAUAUCCGAUAACCCCCGGAAUCAUUCCGUGUCCGAAUAUAGUCGUCCAAUAUAUCAAUCUUCAUGGCUCGACCAUUUUGAGACUCCUCGUCAUGUCCGUGAUCACAUCCGGGACUCCGAACUACCUUCGGUACAUCAAAAUACAUAAACUCAUAAUAUAACCGUCAUCAAAUUUUAAGCGUGCGGACCCUACGGGUUCGAGAACUAUGUAGACAUGACCGAGACACGUCUCCGGUCAAUAACCAAUAGCGGAACCUGGAUGCUUAUAUUGGCUCCCACAUAUUCUACGAAGAUCUUUAUCGGUCAAACCGCAUAACAACAUACGUUGUUCCCUUUGUCAUCGGUAUGUUACUUGCCCGAGAUUCGAUUGUCGGUAUCAUCAUACUUAGUUCAAUCUCGUUACCGGCAAGUCUCUUUACUCGUUCUGUAAUGCAUCAUCACGCAACUAACUCAUUACUCACAUUGCUUGCAAGGCUUAUAGUGAUGUGCAUUACCGACAUGGCCCAGAGAUACCUCUCCGACAAUCGGAGUGACAAAUCCUAAUCUCGAAAUAUGCCAACUCAACAAGUACCUUUAGAGACACCUGUAGAGCACCUUUAUAAUCACCCAGUUACAUUGUGAUGUUUGGUAGCACACAAAGUGUUCCUCCAGUAAACGGGAGUUGCAUAAUCUCAUAGUCAUAGGAACAUGUAUAAGUCAUGAAGAAAGCAAUAGCAGAAUACUAAACGAUCAAGUGCUAAGCUAACAGAAUGGGUCAAGUCAAUCACAUCAUUCUCUAAUGAUGUGAUCUCGUUAAUCAAAUGACAACUCAUGUCUAUGGCUAGGAAACUUAACCAUCUUUGAUUCAACAAGCUAGUCAAGUAGAGGCAUACUAGUGACACUUGUUUGUCUAUGUAUUCACACAUGUAUCAAGUUUCUGGUUAAUACAAUUCUAGCAUGAAUAAUAAACAUUUAUCAUGAAAUAAGGAAAAAAUAAUAACUUUAUUAUUGCCUCUAGGGCAUAUUUCCUUCAUGAGACACAUCUCCGGUCGAUAACCAAUAGCGUAACUUGGAUGCUCAUAUUGGCUCCUACAUAUUCUACGAAGAUCUUUAUCGGUCAAACCGCAUAACAACAUACGUUGUUCCCUUUGUCAUCGGUAUGUUACUUGCCCGAGAUUCGAUCGUCGGUAUCAUCAUACCUAGUUCAAUCUUGUUAUCGGCAACUCUUUACUCAUUCCGUAAUACUUCAUCCCGCAACUAACUCAUUAGUUACAAUGCUUGCAAGGCUUAUAGUGAUGAGUAUUACCGAGAGGGCCCAGAGAUACCUCUUCGAAACACGGAGUGACAAAUCCUAAUCUCGAUCUAUGCCAACCCAACUAACACCUUCGGAGACACCUGUAGAGCACCUUUAUGAUCACCCAUUUAUGUUGUGACAUUUUGUAGCACACAAAGUGUUCCUCCGGUAUUCUGGAGUUGCAUAAUCUCAUAGUCUGAGGAACAUGUAUAAGUCAUGAAGAAAGCAAUAGCAAUGAAACUGUAAUGAUCAUAAUGCUAAGCUAACGGAUGGGUCAUGUCCAUCACAUCAUUCUCCUAAUGAUGUGAUCACGUUAAUCAAAUGACAACACAUGUCUAUGGUUAGGAAACAUAACCAUCUUUGAUAAACGAGCUAGUCAAGUAGAGGCAUACUAGGGACAAUAUGUUUGGUCUAUGUAUUCACACAUGUACUAAGUUUCUGGUUAAUACAAUUCUAGCAUGAAUAAUAAACAUUUAUCAUGAAAUAAGGAAAUAAAUAAUAACUUUAUUAUUGCCUUUAGGGCAUAUUUCCUUCAGUGAUAGCAAUGAUUUUGUAGCAAGUGUAACAGUAGCAACAGUAGUAGUAACUUAGCAAGAACAAUAUAUGGAGAAUUCGUAGGCAUUGGAUCGGUGAAUUUGUCGGAUGAUAUUCCUCAUAUAACAGUCAUAACCUGGGCCGAUACAAAACUAGCUCCAGUUCAUAAAUAUAAUGUAGGCAUGUAUUCCGUAAAUAGUCAUACGUGCGUAUGGAAAGAACUUACAUGACAUCAUUUGUCCUACCCUCCCCUGGCAGCGAGGUCCAUAAGGAAACUAAGGGAUAGUAAGGCCUCCUUUUAAUAGAGAACUGAAACAAAGCAUUAGCACAUAGUGAAUACAUGAACUCCUCAAACUACGGUCCACACCGGAAAGUAUCCCAAUUACUGUCACACUGGGUUUUACGGGUCAUAACACGUAAUAGGUGAAUAUGACUUGCAAGAUCGGAUCUGAAAAUAGAUAUAAUGGUGAAAACAUAAACAGUUUAGAUCUAAAAUCAUGGCACCCAGGCCCAAAGUGACAAGCAUUAAGCAUGGAAAAGUCAUAACAACAUCAAUUUCAGAACAUAGUGGAUACUAGGGAUCAAGCCUAACAAAACUAACUCGAUUACAUGAUGAAUCUCAUCCAACUCCUCACCGACCAACGAGCCUAUGAAGGACUUACUCACUCCCGGUGGGGAGCAUCAUGGAAUUGGCGAUGGAUAAGGGUUGGUGAUGACAAAUACUAAAGAUUCCCCUCUCCGGAGCCCCAAACGGGCUCCAAAUCUGGCCUCCCGAUAAAGAACAGGAGGCGGCGGCGGCGGCUCCAUCUCGUGAAACAAAAUAAUUCUUUCUCAUUGGUUUUUCUCCGAAAAUAGGAUUUUAUAGCAUCGGAGAUAGUGUCUGCGGGGCCACCAGGUGGGCACAACCCACCUGGGGGCGCCCUGGUGAGUUCUGCUCACCUAGGGGGCCCCCUCCGGUGGUUCUUGGCUCCAGUAUUUUUCUUUUAUUGUAUAAAAAUUCUCCAAAAAGUUUUGUUCCAUUCCGAGAACUUUUAUUUCUGCACAAAAAACAACACCAUGGUAGUUCUACUCAAAACAAUGUCAGUCUGGAUUAGUUUCAUUCAAAUCAUGCAAAUUAGAGUCCAAAACAAGAGCAAAGUGUUAGGAAAAGUAGAUACGGCGGAUACGUAUCAAUCAUAUCCAGUUUAAGCGCACAAGACUAAUGUUUCUUUACCCUAUUUCUCUUCAUGAAAUGUAAGCACUCAUAUGCAGUAAUAAUGUUAUCAUUGAUCAGUCUACCUGGGACGAAGGCUGACCGUUCCUCGGAAAUAGUAUCCGGUAACACAAUUUUCAAACAGUUUGAGAUCACCUUAGAUGCAAUCUUGUAAGGGCCAAUUCCAGUUCUGCCCCUAACUCGAACCCACUACUCAGUUUUGCCCCUAAUUUUUAGGUAUGCUCAGUUUUGCCCCUCCGCCGUUAGUGUCACUUAUAGAAAUGCCCUUUUGCGUCGUUACCGUCCGGUCAAAGGACUUUGACCACCCAGAAAAAAAUAGCAAAAAAAAUCAAAAAAAUCUGAAAUUUUGUGGGAUCGAAGAUAGUCAUGUCCGCAAGGCGCGUGAAAAUUUGUGUGCCGUUCAGACACCCUGAGAGCUCGUGGCAAAGGAAAUCAUAAAUUUUGUACGCAUGUGAACAGUAAAUUCGAAAAAAUAGAAAAAAAAUCAAAAAAAUAUGAAAUUUUGGGGAACUGAAGAUACUUAGGUGCACAAGAUGUGUGCACAUUUUUGUUGUGUUUGGACAUCGUAUGAGCCCNNNNNNNNNNNNNNNNNNNNNNNNNNNNNNNNNNNNNNNNNNNNNNNNNNNNNNNNNNNNNNNNNNNNNNNNNNNNNNNNNNNNNNNNNNNNNNNNNNNNNNNNNNNNNNNNNNNNNNNNNNNNNNNNNNNNNNNNNNNNNNNNNNNNNNNNNNNNNNNNNNNNNNNNNNNNNNNNNNNNNNNNNNNNNNNNNNNNNNNNNNNNNNNNNNNNNNNNNNNNNNNNNNNNNNNNNNNNNNNNNNNNNNNNNNNNNNNNNNNNNNNNNNNNNNNNNNNNNNNNNNNNNNNNNNNNNNNNNNNNNNNNNNNNNNNNNNNNNNNNNNNNNNNNNNNNNNNNNNNNNNNNNNNNNNNNNNNNNNNNNNNNNNNNNNNNNNNNNNNNNNNNNNNNNNNNNNNNNNNNNNNNNNNNNNNNNNNNNNNNNNNNNNNNNNNNNNNNNNNNNNNNNNNNNNNNNNNNNNNNNNNNNNNNNNNNNNNNNNNNNNNNNNNNNNNNNNNNNNNNNNNNNNNNNNNNNNNNNNNNNNNNNNNNNNNNNNNNNNNNNNNNNNNNNNNNNNNNNNNNNNNNNNNNNNNNNNNNNNNNNNNNNNNNNNNNNNNNNNNNNNNNNNNNNNNNNNNNNNNNNNNNNNNNNNNNNNGUAUGAGCCCGUACGAGCUCGUAGGAGCUAAACUUUAUUUUUUUUCUCCGCGAGCUCCUACGAUGUCCAAACACAACAAAAAUGUGCACACAUCUUGUGCACUUAAGUAUCUUCAGUUCCCCAAAAUUUCAUAUUUUUUUGAUUUUUUUUCUAUUUUUUCGAAUUUAUUGUUCACAUGCGUACAAAAUUUAUGAUUUCCUUUGCCACGAGCUCUCAGGGUGUCCGAACGGCACACAAAUUUGCACGCGCCUUACGGACAUGACUAUCUUCGAUCCCACAAAAUUUCAGAUUUUUUUGAUUUUUUUUGCUAUUUUUUCCUGGGUGGUCAAAGUUCUUUGAUAACGUCGCAAAAGGGCAUUUCUAUAAGUGACACUAACGGCGGAGGGGCAAAACUGAGCAUACCUAAAAAUUAAGGGCAAAACUGAGUAGUGGGUUCGAAUUAAGGGCAUAGAUGUAAAUGUCCCAUCUUGUAAAUGACAUUGCACAAACUGAUAGGUCGAAACUGAGAUAAGUGUGUUGGACUAUUUACCUUAGGGAUCAAGAUAAGGAUGGCCUCACUGAUGCUUUCUGUUGUCUCCUUUCCUUCCACGAUCCUUAGGAUAGCCAAAGUGACAUCAUCCCCACAAACAUCCCAAUGACGUUGAAAAAGUGUGUCGGAAAGCCAUACGGACCAGGAGCUUUUGUGGGAAACAUUUAGAACAAUGUUGUUUUAACCACCUGUUGAGUGUACGGUGCAUUUAACAUUUCAUCCAUAUCUUGGGUUACUUUGCAUGGGACAGUUGAAAUGACUUUGUCCAUAUUUUGCACCCCUUCUGAAGUGUACAGAUUUUCAUAAAAAGCAGUUGUAAGGUUCUCCAUCUCCACUGUAUCUUCGGUCAUUUGCCCAUUCUCUCGCUGAAGCGCUUUAAGCUGGGUUUUCCUUCUUCUUCUACUGGCUCUAAGAUGAAAGACGUACGUAUUUUUGUCACCAUGCAUUAGCCACUCCAGUCUUGCACGUUGUCGCCAAAGGAUUUCUUCACAGUGAUAAAGUUCAACCCGAUUAUCCAUGAUUUUUAAUUCCUCAUGCAAUGGGGCAGAUAUUCCCGGGAUCGCCCGCAACUCCUAUAGCCGAUGUUGUAGUUUCGCAAUCUGUUGUCGCGCGUUCCCAAAGUGGGUGCGAUCCCACACUGAUAAAUCCCCUGCCACCUGCAACAGCUUCUGUCGUACUGCUACAACCGAAUCGCCUUGUCGUUGUUGAGCCCAUCCAGCGCUAUCACAUGUGCAUGCGUUGGGUCCCUUUCCCAAUAUAAUUCAUAUUUAAACUGUCUUGGACCGCGUGCGCAUGGAUGCACUUCAUUUAGGCUGGUUGUAAUUGGGAGUAUCAUAUACUAGUAUCAUGUAUAUGAUACUAGUGUAUGAUACUACUUCGAUAAUGCAUAGUAUCAUAAGUUAAUAUCUUACGUUGCCUUAUUAAUUGCCAUGCAUGACACAAAGUAAUACAACAUUUAAUAUGAUACGGUAUCAUGAUAUGAUACUACAUCCUCUCUUUCCUCAUUUAAUUGUGUGCCACAUCAUCCAAAAAGUCUAGUUGACAUGCAUGAUACCGCUUAUGAUACUCUCAUUAUGACCAGCCUUAUCCUUAGGAGCACUGGUACAUGAUCGGAUGUGGCAGCGUUUUUGUGUUGCACUACAACCAUUGGGAAGGCCAAGGACAAUGCGGAAUUUGCUAUGCACCUGUCCAGCCGGACGCGUGUAUAUGUCCCUCCGGCCACUCUCCGUUUAAAGGUCCAUUUGUUUCCUAUGUAGCCCAGAUCAGUAAGGCCACAAGUAUCCAAAGCAUCUCUAAAACCAUCCAUUUGCGCUUGGCUUCUAUUUCCCACACCAUCGUGUCCAUGUGCAUGCAAUACUUUGUUGAAGUCACCCAUGACCACCCAUGAUAGAUUAUUUGCUCCUACUAUUCCCCGCGGGAUAUCCCAUGUUUUAUACCUUUCAUUUACUUGUGCCUCACCAUACACAAAGGUGAUUCUUGUCUUGACACAUCAGCUAACUCAUCAGAAAUUAAAUCAAUAUGACACUCAGAAUAACCUUGAAUUUCAAGCUUCAUUUCAUUGUUUUAGAAAACACCCAAACCACAACUUCUACCUGAGGUAUUGACUGCAAAACUUUUUUGUACCCUAGUGUUUCUUUCAAAUUAUCUAAUUGAGAUCUCUCUAUUUCAGUUUCGAUGAUACAAGUGAUAGAGGGGGCAAGUUGCCUCGUGAGAUCACGAAGCUCACGAACUCCCGCUGGUUUGCCAGCCCGACGGCAGUUCCAGCAUAGCAGCCUCAUUGCGCUAGGCGCGACACCACUUGGGGGCCCGCCAAACGUGCAUCUUGAUUCUUUUGUAAGCUACUGUUCCUCACUAGGGGUUUUUCCACCGCUCACUGGUAAGGUUUUGCUCUCUUCUAUUCUUGUGUAGAUGACGGACUUGCAGGAACUCCUGGGGAUGGGAGUGCUAGCACUGUUUCCCCCUACUCAUUCACCUGUUGAGUGGUGCCUGGUGGCGUUGUUUGGGCUACCGGAGCAGCUCCCCUUUUCCUGUUUUUCUCAGCAUCUACCAUGGUUGCAUUAGCUCGGGGAUCUUCCACGUCGUCAAAACACUCACGGGAAUCAGCUCCUGCAUAACCGUCUCCUCCGUUUCGACCUCCUCUGCGACCACCCCGGCGGCCUCGACCUCCUCCAGGGCCACAAACCAGUCCUCAUAAACCAAAGAGGCUCUUAAUUCCUUAAAAACCAGUGCAAAGGGAGGAUUGAUUCCUGUACCAUUCUCUUUGUGAAGGUGCCCUAGCAUCCCACAUACCGUGCACCAAUCCGGCAACUUCUCAAAUCAAUCUUUUGCCUUGUAACGUAUAUGAUGACUCGGUCCUAUUUUUUUCUUCCAAACAAAUCUCACUUCAUACAUACAACCCUGCCUCGCGCUUCGGCCUGGUGCGGCCAGCCCCACCUAGGCCAGCUUGCCAGAUGGGCUGCCUGCCCGGACCGCUGCUCUACAGCGCUAGCCCAACAUGGGCAUUGCCCGGCCUGCACCAGCGCCCCGUCUGACCUACGCGUGGGCGAAUCCUAUUUGACGCUCGCGUGCGUCCGACUGCAGCCCUUUCGCUGAAGCGCGCGAGCGAGCAGCGCGAAACGGGCCAGCCCACAUUGAGCGUUGAAGCGCAAACCGGUUUUGGGAACCUUCUAGAGGGUUCCCUCAACCGGUUUUUUCUUUUUUUUUCCUUUUACUGGUUUUUCGCUUUUUUUCUGUUUCUUUUUUCUUUUUUUUGUUUCUGCUUCUUUUUCUAUAACUUUUAUUUUUCCUUUUACUUCCUUUUAUCCUUUUUAGGUUUUUUCAUUAUUAUUAGUUUUCAAAAAUGUUCAAAAUUCCAAAUUUGCUUCACAGUUUUGAAAAAAAAUCACAAUUCAACAAUUGUUCAACAUAUAUUACAAAAAUGUUGAACGUAUAAUUCAAAAUUGUUCAUGAUAUAUCACCAAAAUGUCCAAUGUCUAUUUAAAUAUUGUUCAGCUUAUAUCACAAAAAAGUUCAAUGUGUAGUUCAAAAAAUGUUCACCCUUUAUGAAUAAAAAAUGUUUAAUGUAUAUUUAAUAAAAUUUUCAGCGUAUAUCACAAAAAUAUGUGUAUUCUAAAAUUGUUCAGCAUAUAUCAAGAAGUUCGAGUGUAUUUAAAUUGUUCGUAGUAUUACAAAAAUGUUCAAUGGUCGAAAAGUUUCAGUUUUUUCUGGAUCUGCCAACCCGUGAGUUCAUAGAAGUUUGCGCGGCCCACUAACCACGAAGACUUGGCAGCUCAACUGGUUGAGAACGCUGACCUGCUAUCGCCUGGUUACGAGUUCGAUUCCUCGUGUGAUCUUUGUUUUCCUUUUAUUUCUAGUACCGUUUUUGCCAUGAUGCCAUCCAAUGGGCCGGCCCAUUUAGAUCGCGGCUGCGCGGAAGCUCGUCCUUUUGACGCUAGCGAGCGCCUACGCGUGGCCUGCUAUGCUACGCACGCCAACCGCCGGAAUUCCCUAUUAGACGCACGUUGCAUCAAAGUAUCGACCUUUCUCACAUAGACCUGGUGUUCGAGCGAUGACUUGGGCCGGCCCAUUAAAGCGUUGCAGCGAUUCUGGUUUUGGGAACCUUCUAGAGUUUCCUGGCCAGUUUUUCUAGUUUUGGGAACCUUCUAGAAGGUUCUUCGAACCGGGUUUUCUGUUUCUUUUUUAUUUUUAUUUUUUCUGUUUAUUUUUGUUCUUUGUUCUUUCUUUUUUCUUUACUUUUCCUUUUGCUGUUUAUUUUUUCUUUUUGUUUAUUUUUCCAUUUCUUCCAUUUUUUUUCUUUUUCAAGUUGAUAUUUGUUUUUUUAAUUAAUUUUUUAGAUUUUCAAAAAUGUUCACCUUUUAAAAUAUGUUCACAAAUUCAAAAAAUGUACAUGACUUUCAAAAAAUGUUCAUGUAUUUCAAAAAUUGUUCACAAACUAAGAAAAUGUUCAUAUUUCAAAAAAACUUCUGGAAUUGCAAAAAAAGUUUGAGGUUGCAAAAUUUAGUCUGAAAUUUCAAAUAUGUUCGCAUUUGAAAACAUGUUCAGGAAUUUUAAAAAAAAUCGUGGUUUCAAUUUUUUGUUAGAUAUUUCAUGAAGUCCCAUUUUCAAGUUUUGUUCACAAAUUCAAAAAAUUUACAGGACUUUCGAAAAAUGUUCAUGUAUUCCAAAAUUUGUUCACAAAUUUAGAAAAUGUUCAUAUUUCAAAAAAACUUCCGGAAUUGCGAAAAAUGUUCGUGGUUGCAAAAUUUGGUCUGAAAUUCAAAAAAAUGUGUGCGUUUGAAAACUUGUUCAGGAAUUUUAAAAAAUGUUCGUGGUUUCAAUUUUUUGUUAGAUAUUUCAUGAAGUUCCAUUUUCAACUUUUUGUUCAAAAAUUCAAAAAAUGUUCAAGGUUUCUAUUUUUUAUAGUUUCAUGAAAUGUUCCAUUUUUCAAAUCUUUGAUUAAAAACUGAACAAAAAAAUGCGUUUUAAAAUUUGUUCGUUACUUUAAAGAAUGGUUCUCGUUUUUCAAAAACAUUUUCCGCGGUUUCAAUUUUUUUGUUUGCAUAUGCAAAAAAAUGUUCCCGUCUACGAAAAUUUGUUCUAAAAUUAAAAAAUUGUUCGCAUUUUUUCAAAAUGCACACCUUCAGAAAAAAUGUGCACUUAUUUUUAAGAUGUUCCCCUCUACAGUAACUAAUUGUAGUUCAAUAGAGUAGACAUGCCCGGUUGUACGGUUGUGCUAAGUUAUUUCAGAUGCACACUAUUCUACUGCAAGCAAUGCUUGUCAGUUGGAGUGGCUGGGAGCACGCGUUCCUAAGUCAGUUGGAGUGGCUUGUCGGUCCGAACCCUGCCAUCACACCUACCUCUCUUUUUUGCUUUCGUUUCCUUACAACGGUAUAAUGCAAUGGGCCCGCACAGUCAGGCUGUUCCCUGUGCGCGGCGACGCCAGUUUGACGCAAAGAGCGUCCAAUAGGAGCUCCCUUUGCCGCCGUCUGCAUGUUACCGAUCCGAUCUCGACGAAAGUCGAACAUAUCAAGGAUUUUCGCUGUACACUGCACUGACGACGUCUCCAGAUCACUUCCGUCCACUGCGACCAUGUUGACAAUAAUCAUGACAUCGAAUCUUCCUUCUCUAGAUGAACGCCUCACACCUAGCUCUGAUAUCUCCUGUUAGAAUAAGACCGAGGCGCACAAUCAAUUAUCAAGGACCAAACAAUCACACCAACACGACAUCAAAAUUUGUUAACGACUUUCAGCGAUAUGUCUACAUCCCGGGGCAUGACUACGGGCACUCCUCCGCGUGACACCGACACAAUACUGUGACCGGCCACCCGGGCGCCGGCACACGCCGCGGGCUCCUCCUGUUUUGUUCGGUUCGGUUCUCUCCGCACGUGUCUGUGCAUGCUUUUCUCCCUUAAUUUUCUGACGAUGAUCGGCUCCGUGAGUGCGCGUGUCGACAUGCAGGGGUGGAGGGCGUGGCCAUGGAGGUCGACAAGGGAUCCAUGACUAUUGUCGGCCCGCUUCGAUGCCAAGAAGCUUAGGGACCGCGUCGCCUCGAAGACCAGGAAGAAGGUCUAGCUCGUCGGCGGCAAAGACAACAAGGGUGGCGGUGGCGGUGGUGGGGACAAGAACAAGUGCGCCGACGGCGAGGGCAAGCAGGUGCCUGAAAAGAAGGAGGAGGAGAAGGAGCAGAUUGACAAGUGCGGCGGCAAUGUCGAGAAGGGGAAGGCGGCAAGGACAACAAUAAGCCAGCCAUGGUUUGUCCUUGAAUCCUAUCUAUUCUCUCCAGUCGACUCGCAUCAUGUCCCGCUCUCAUCUGUUGCAGCGUUUUGCUGAUGAGAUUGUUCUGCUCGACUGAUCGUUCGAUUUGGUUCAUGGCAGCCGGUGAUCGUCACGGUGGUGCUCACCGCUGGCUUCCACUGCGCCGGCUGCAUGCACCGCGUCCGCUGCAAGCUCUUCAAGAUCAAAGAUUCAAAGGUAUCCGCAGCUCCUCCUCCACUUGCCUCGUCAUGCAUGCACGCUAGGUUCUCGACCGAAUUCCCCGUCCGUGCGCAUUCACAUCGCCGAGCACGCAAAUGCCAAGGGGAUCCAACCUGGUCCAGGGCGUGUUCGGCUCCCUCGUCUCGGCGACGGCUUCACCUGCGUGCUCGAGACCGGCUCCUCCUCCGCGGCCGCUGCUGGGGCCGCGUGGUAGCGCCGUGCAGGCGGCCUUCGCCAACGCCUCUGUCUCGUCACUCGCCGCGGGGGGCUCCCGAGCGUGCGGCAUGGUGUCUGCUUGGUGCUCUGCUCCAGCUCGGGCGCAGGCGUGCUCCCACAGAGCGAUCUCGGUCCCCACAGGCUCGCCGUCAGCGACUCACACGCAUGCGGGCUCCGCGGCGCAACCACACCGCAGUGUGCUGGAGCCGAGGACACCCUUUUAUUUCUCCCACUCCGGCAGCCAGCUGACAGGUGGGGCCUUGUGUGCACGGAUUUUUUGCAAAAUGUGAUGCCACGCCGUGGGACACAGUCAUCGCCGCGUGGCGAUUGACCGGUCAACCAUGUGCCAGUCAACGAAAAACGUACAAAAAAUCGUACAUGGACCGUCCUUUAACAAGUUUAGCGACCAUAUUUGAGGUAUUUUACCAUGCAAAAAAAUAUUUGUGUAUUUUGAAGUACAGGUAUUAAAGUGGGUUCGAGCGCAAGUUUAGGGAUCACAGAUGAAAUUUUGUCAUCCACAUUAUGCUGAAGAAAAAAGCUAAUCCACUUUGUACUGCCUGAAAAUAAAACUAAUUUACAGUAGAAUAUACUACUUACCUUGGCGACAUAUUUUUAUAGAAGAAACAACUUGAGUCCGAGACUUGAAUCUAGGUGGGCUCACUGCACACCCGCACAGCUUACCAACAGAGCGACACUACGUUUUCCAAACAUAGUUAUAAUAACUUGGAAAUUCAUCAGGGCUUCUCCGCACAAACAAAUAAUGACUUGGAAAUUCAGCAGGGUUUCAACAACAUAACUAACUUGGCAAUCCAGCAGAAGUUCAAGAAAUAAAAACCCGGGAGAUUCAGCAGACCACGACAGUACCAAGGGAAUGCCACUAGUGAGCAUCCGACAGAUUACUGCUGCACAGGAUUACAGCAGCAUACACACACAAACAAAUAACAAAACGGAGGAGAGGCGAAAGCAUCGCU
rnacentral:lncRNA from 1 species